UUUUUUUUUUUUGCUCAUCAGCUGAUUGUUCAUGCAUGUUAGCUUGUCACUGGCUCAGUGCGGAGAGCGCCUGAUCCUUUUAGUGAGAAGAAAAGGAUAUGACUUUUACAUGUGAUUUUACCGAACUUUCUAGAAGGACAAGCUAUUACCUUGAGCUGGAACUAGCAUUUAAUAUUUGCAGCAGCAGAUGCAUGUGCAUAUACAACACAUCUAUUAUUCUCAAGGAACAUCACAUUACUCUCCUGGCCUCUACAUGAGCUCCUCAGACCAUGCUCGCCCGCCAAGAUAUGUAGUGUGUCUAUAAAUAAUACAACCGUGUACAUUUUGUGGAACCGAACUCAGCAAUGGUAGAAGCUGGAUAUCAUGUGUGCGUCGUGCGUGUGAAGCCAUCGAGUGGUAUAGACUAUUACACAGUGAGAACUCUUGAGGCGAUGAGAGUGAGAGGCACUGGGAAUUUUAGCUGAAGCCGAUGAGAAGCAUGUGGCCACAUGCCUGACUUGUUCGUCGGACGUCGCUGGCGGCGAGUGCUUUCCGCUGGAAACAUUCAGUUAGUUCAGUGUCACUGAAUAAAAUUCAGUCCGUCAGCGUGUGCUUGUGCACAUACAGACACAAUAGUUUUCAGUGAGGAAGUUAGCAGCAUUUUCACCCGUCCGAAGAAGCGCCAUGGGAUGGCAUGGAUCACGCGUCUCAUGGCGGGUAUGUAGGGUUCAAUCGUGGCGAGCAUUAUAGGAUGGCACGAUCAGUAAGCUCAUCAUGAGCAACCAUUUCCUUCUUGUUUUCAAUAGCUUCUUUUGGGGCUUGCUGAAUAACAGAAAAGGUGCAGUGGCAGUUUGCAAGGCAAACCUACUGUCUUCCACCUCUGGCACUCUCUCUUUCUCUCACAAAUCUCUAUCGUCGAGGUUGCCAGCUUCAGCAACAACAAGUGGCAUCAGAGCCUUGUUGGUGUUCGAUCCAUACUAGGCACCAGCGGUGUUUGAUCCGAGAUGACUGGCAGCGAUGACGAGACGACAAAGAAAGUUGGGGGAGAAGAAGGCGGCAGCGGAAAUGGCAGCGCUGCAGAAAACCCUAGCACGGCUCUCCACAGAAGGAGGGUUAGGGGUGCGCGUCGUGCAUGCCUGUGGCGGUGGCAUGCCGCUCAUGAUGCUAACGCGAACGAACUACACCUAUUGGGCCCUCAUGACUAAAUUGCAGUCGAAUGCUGAUGAGCUGUGGCUUGUAGUUGAGACCGGUGUAGGUAGGGACUGCGAAGACCGGCGCGCCAUGGUUGCCCUGAUAAGGGGUGUCCCGCCAUAGUUGACGCGGACGCUGGGCACUAAGUCCAUGGCAAAGGAAGCACGUGACACCCUCAAGACUAUGCGUUGACGCGGAUGCUGGGCACGAAUGCGCCGCUCUGAGUACGAGGGACUCCGGCACAAGGACGACGAAGCGAUUGAGUAGUAAAUUAUGCGGCUUUGGGCCAUCAUCGACAAGCUCGAGGUCCUCAGUGCUCCGGUGGGUGAGCACAAAGCUGUCCUCAAGGUACUACGGAUGGUGCCCCGGGCUUACCUUGACGUGGCAGUGGCGAUCGAGUCACGUGUCGACAAUAAACAACUCUCCUUGGAAGAGCUCUGCGGGCACCUUGUUGUCGUCGAAGAAUGCGAGCGUGAGGAGGUACUUGCAUCUGGGGCCACCUGCUCCUUACUGAAGAGGAGUGAUUUGCGCGCCACAGGCAGCCUGACCAAGGCGGCAACUCGUCUGGAAGAGGGCGGCAUUGGGCGUGGUAACUGAAAGCCAAAGGGCUUCCUAGGCAGCGAAGGUCACGACCAAGGCGAUGGUCGCAACAACGGAGGUGCAGCGACGUCCAAGGGCAAGGGCGAUUGCAGCUACUAGGGAUCCCAACACUACUAGGGAAAACCCUAGAAGUAGUGCGGGUAAUUGCCUAGCAGUAGCGCGGGGGCAUGCGCUACUGAUAGGGCGCUACAACUAACUUUUAGCAGUAGCGCGGGUGGUACCCGCGCUACUGCUACUUCUAGUAGUAGUAGCGCGGUUGCCGCCCACGCUACUACUAAUUAGUUGUAGCGCGGGUUAGGGCCCCGCGCUACUACUAACUAAUUGAGAAUUAAAAAAAAUUAUAUCCAUGGCAGCUGCUUAUGCUAGGCGUCAUGGUCCUCUCCAUUCAUGGCUGCUACUGGUCCUGGAAGGGAUGAAGCUGUCCAUGGUGAUGGUGCUUCCGCACCCAACUUGUGCCCGCACCUCUCUUCUACUGCUGCUACAAAAGAAGAGAAAAUUAUUAGAAAGAGGAAGAGAGAUAGAGAGCAGUAGGAGGAGGAACUCACCGGUGGCCGCCGGAGUAGGAGCUGACGCCCGAAACCCUACAUGAAGCCCGAUGACCUGCUGCUUCUUGUCGUGGGAUCCUUGACCCGACGAGGAGGUGCAAGUGGUUGCGUCCAUGGCGGAUCUGGCCUCCGCCAUGGACAACCGUCGGCUGGUUUCCCUCUCCUUCCAACAGCGGAGAAGAAGGAGGAUGGAGGGGAAGGAGAGGGGUCUGCAGUGCGCGAGGAGGUCGCCGGAUUUGUGAGUGGCGCGAGGUGCGAGGCCGGCAGUGGCGGUGGGUGAGGAAGGGAAACAUGGGUGGGACGAGAAGGGGAAUCAGAAGAGUGUGGUUUGGAUUUGUUCCUCCGCACGCUAUGUGUACACAUGUCUUGGUGGGUCGAUAGUAGUAGCGCGGGUUUAUACCCUUCGCUACUACUAUGACAUGUCCCGGAUGACGCACGGUAGAGACCACUUAGUAGUAGCGAGGGUUAAAAACCCGCGCUACUACUAUCAACUUAGUAGUAGCGAGGGUUUAUACCCCUCGCUAUUACUAUGGCAUGUCCCCGGGGGGCACGGUAGAUACCACUUACUAGUAGCGAGGGUUAAAAACCCGCGCUACUACUAUCAACUUAGUAGUAGCGAGGGUUAAAAACCCACGCUACUACUAAGUAGCAGUAGCGAGGGUUAUAAACCCACGCUACUAGUAAGCGUCUGCCUAUAAGCUUUUCCCUAGUAGUGCAAGGCGCUGGGCGAGAGAGUGCCACAACAAGGCCAAGGACUGUGAGCAGUAGGAACAUCAGGCUCACAUGGUGUAGUCGACGUCGAACAGCCUAGGUUUCUGCUCACUGCCUGCGAGGUGGUAGACGUCACGAACGUAGUCACCCCUGCAGUGAUGCAGCCGGUACCACAGGAGAUCUUCAUCAAGAAGGGGCGCGACAUGCCAAUGGCCACGAACGACGACCAUUGGUAUCUAGACACCGGCGCCAGCAACCAUAUGAUGGGCCACCGCGACAUGCUCACGUAGGUGGACGAAUCCAUGCGUGACGAAUGAGACCAGUUGUGCUUUGGUGAUGGCUCCGUGGUGCGGAUCUUCGGGGUUGGGGUGAUGAUGAUUUCGUGCAAGACCGGCGAGCACCGUACGCUCUCGGUUGUCUACUAUAUCCCGCAACUCCGAAUGAACAUUGUAAGUCUCAGUCGAUGAGCACGGUUGCAAAUCCAUGAUCAGGGGUGGUGAGCUCUGCCUCUAUGACAAACAGCUCGUAUUUCUGGUGCGGGUGCGAUGGAUGAGACCAGUUGUAUGCCGUGGCUCUGAACUUGGCCGCGCCCGUGUGUCUCCUGGCGGGCUGCAUCGACGAGGCCUGGCACUGGCACACGCGCUCCGGCCACCUCCAAUUCCAAUCCCUUCACGAUCUUGGCGCAAAAGGGGUGGUGUGUGGCAUGUCAGCAAUCCAACACAUUGACCAGUUCUUCGAAGGCUGCCCGAUCGGUAACAUGCACUGCAUGCCAUUCCUCCAGCGAUUCAGAGCACGUGCUAGAUCUCGUCCACGGUGACCACUUCGGCCCCAUCUCUCUGGCGACAAUGAGAGGUAACAACUAUUUUCUUCUAAUUUGGAUGAACACGGUAGAUAUAUUGUGGCUGGAGGUUCUUAGGAGCAAGGACGAGGUGUUCCGUUUCUUCAGGAAGAUCAAGGCCAUCGUUGAUACACAGAGCGACGCCAAAGUCAAAGCAUUACGCAUGGAUCAUGCCUGUGAAUUUAAUUCUAAUGAGUUCACCGCAUACUGUGAGGAGCUGGGCCUCCAAAGGAACACGACUAACACCAUACUCUCCAUAGCAAAAUCGUGUUGUCGAACGACGAAACCAGUCAGUGGUGGAGAUGGCCCACAGUCUGAUGAAGAGCAUGGGCAUGACAAGCGCCUUCUGAGGUGAGGCGUUGUGCACAACGUUUCAUUAAACAUUGGCCUACGAGAAGUUUGCAUGGCAUCACACCUACGAGGCUUGGCAGAGGCGUAAUGUAAGAGGAAGUCGGCGGUCGACUACUUCCAUACUUUCGGCUGCGUAGCACACGUGAAACUCGUUGGCCCCGAAGUCAGCAAGCUCUUAGAUCGCUCUGUCGCCAGUGUGUUUGUGGCCUAUGAUCCUGGCACGAAGGAGUACAGGGUCUACAACCCGGCUGGCAAACGGAUCUAUGGCACAUGCGAUGUAUGAUUUGAAGAAGACCCCUGCCAGGACUGGAGCAGCGCACACGUCGACGUGCCUGCUUGGACGGCCUUGUUAUUUUUUCACGGAGUCAGCCGUACAAAGAACUAUGGCGCCAUCUGGUACCAGGUUUAAGGUGAAGAAGUUCAACGGAACUGAAAGCUUUGGGUUAUGGCAGACAAGGGUUAAAGAUUUGUUGGCACAACAGGGAUGCUUGAAGGCAUUGUUGCAGGAAGCCAAGCCAGCUAAGAUGGAGGUGGAUGACUGGGAGGAGUUACAGUUGAAAGCAGACGGGACUAUACGGUUGUGUCUGUCUGACCAGAUUAUUUAUCAUGAUGGAUGAGAAUUCGCCGAAGAAGAUCUGGAAGAAGCUGCAAAGUUAGUUUAUAUCCAAGACUGCGACGACCAAGGUGUAUCUGAAGCAAAAGUUGUAUGGGAUGAGGAUGUAGGAGGGAUCAGAUCUUGUGGAGUAUAUGAACACCUUUAAUCAAGUCGUAACGGAUCUAGCACGCUUGGGUGCGCCGGUUGACGACGAGGAUAGGACAAUUUUGCUUCCGUGUUCAUUGCCAUCAUCCUAUGACCAUUUGAUCACUACUUUGACGCAUGGCAAGGAGACCGUUAAGAAUGGGGAUAUUACUGCGGCAUUGCUAUCUUAUGAUAUGAGAAAGAAGAACGCGGUGGAAGUCUCUCAUGGUGAAGGUUUGCUAGUCAAGGGAGAGGAGUGGCGGAAGGGAUAUGAGGCUGGGAAGAACAUGAAAAAGAAAAAGAAUAUACAGUGUCACAAGUGUAAGCAGUGGGGACAUGUAAGAAAGGACUGUCCAGAACUCAAUGGUGGGGCAAGUGCUAAUAAGGCAACUCAUGGGGAUGACUCAGACAGCGGUAGUGAUGUCUGAGGGAGUCCUGGAUUAGGGGGUCUCCGGACAGCCGGACUAUAUCCUUUGGCCGGACUGUUGGACUAUGAAGAUACAAGAUUGAAGACUCCAUCCCGUGUUCGGAUGGGACUCUCCUUCGCGUGGAAGGCAAGCUUGGCAAUACAGAUAUGUAGAUCUCCGUCCUUGUAACCGACUCUGUGUAACCCUAGCCCCCUCCGGUGUCUAUAUAAACCGGAGGGUUUAGCCCGUAGGACAACAACAAUCAUACCAUAGGUUAGCUUCUAGGGUUUAGCCUCUACAAUCUCGUGGUAGAUCAACUCUUGUAAUACUUAUAUCAUCAAGAUCAAUCAAGCAGGAAGUAGGGUAUUACCUCCAUCGAGAGGGCCCGAACGUGGGUAAACAUCGUGUCCCCCGCCUCCUGUUACCAUCCGCCUUAGACGCACAGUUCGGGACCCCCUACCCGAGAUCCGCCGGGUUUGACACCGACAUUGGUGCUUUCAUUGAGAGUUCCACUAUGCCGUCACCAUAAGGCUUGAUGGCUCCCUCGAUCAUCGGUAACAAUGCGGUCCAGGGUGAGGCUUUCCUCCCCGGACAGAUCUUCGUAUUCGGCGGCUUCGCACUACAGGCCAACUCGCUUGGGCAUCUGGAGCAGAUCGAGAGUUACACCCCUGGCCACCAGGACAGGUUCGGAAACUUGAACUACACUGCUGACAUCUGCGGAGACUUGAUCUUCGAUGGAUUCGAGCCCAUGCCAGGUGCGCCGCAUGAUCACGAUGAGCAUGAUUUAGCUCUGCCGUCGGAUAGUGUUCGGGAGAUCACACCUGCAACUACUCCGACCCUCAAUCCGGAGCAAAUUGCUCCAUCCGAGGAUGGGGGGAUAGACCCCGCCAUGGAGGCCGCACUCUCAGUGCCGAUGGAGCUAGAUACUGACUUCACCCUUUACGAGAGCCGUGUUGCCGAACCACUGGAUUCGUCUCCGGCCACGGACUCCGAGCUGCCUGCGUCCGUGCCUAUCGAAUCCGAUUGGGCGCCGAUCAUGGAGUUCACUUCCGCGGAUAUCUUUCUGCACUCACCUUUCGGCGACGUGCUAAAUUCAUUAAGGUCUCUCUCCUUGUCAGGAGAUCCUUGGCCGAACUAUGUCCGGCUAGAAUGGGAUGCGAACGACGAAGAAAUUCGCUGCCCACCCACCACCCACUUAGUAGCCUAUGUCGACAAUUUAACCGACAUGCUCGAUUUCGACUCCGAAGACAUCGACGGCAUGGACGACGAUGCAGGAGAGGAACAGGAACCAGUGCCCAGAGGGCGCUGGACAGCCACUUCACCACAUGACAUAUACAUGGUGGAUACACCCAAAGAAAACAAUGACGAAGAACGACAUGAUGCAGCGAAGAAUAGCUCCCUCGAGAAGCAAGCAAAGCGUCGGCAUAGGCGCCGCUCAAAAUCCCGCCUCGACAAAAACAGCGAUAGCAGUGCAAGAGAAAAUAACACUCUAGUCGACUCCAGAGGAAACGACGACCACAUUGACCCAGCGGCAGAGCAUGAUGAAAUUGCAAACGGCGAACAUAGUACGGAUCCGAUGUCCGAACACAGCAACACCGAGGAUAAACCUCAUCAACCCCCCUCUGGGGAGGAAAACAGUCCGGAUGAAGAUGCACACAUCAUCCCGAAAAGGCAUUUGGAAUAAGAGAACCUCCGCAGAAGGCUUAUUGCCACAGCUAGGAGUCUGAAGAAGCAGAAGCAAAGGCUUAAGGCCACACAAAAUACGCUCAACAGCAGGUGGAACAAAGUGCUCGACAACGAAGAAAAGUAUGGUGGAAGUUACCACACAAAGAGCUAUCCCAAGCGCAAGCUAUUACCUGCAUUUGACGAUGAGGCCAUAGAGCCCACACAGCCGAAUAAUAAAACGCCCAACCGGCUGGAUCAACCACCUUGUGGCCGCGAUAGAGCGGCUAACAAGGCCGCACAUAAGUCAACACACGAUCUACGUGAGGACUUGCGCCAAAAAAUCCAGUAUGACCAGAUCCAUCUAUGGAUCUAGGAAGCGCGCUCCGGCACAAAAUCAAAACCGAAUACUACAACCGUCCGAAUGCCAUGAUACAUCCAAAUACAGGGGUGACACACACCCCCUAUGUUUCACCGAUGAGGUGCUGGACCACGAAUUUCCAGAAGGAUUCAAAACAGUGAACAUAGAGGCAUACGACGGGACCACAGACCCUGGGGUCUGGAUUGAGGACUUUAUCCUCCAUAUUCAUAUGGCUCGCGGAGACGAUCUCCAUGCCAUCAAGUACUUGUCCCUCAAGCUUAAAGGACCAGCUCGGCACUGGCUGAAAAGCCUCCCCGAAAACUCAAUUGGAAGUUGAGAGGAGCUCGAGGAUGCUUUUCGGGCUAAUUUUCAAGGGACCUAUGUCCGACCUCCGGAUGCAGACGAUUUAAGUCAUAUAAUUCAACAGCCCGGAGAGUCAGCCCGAAAUCUUUGAAACAGGUUUCUCACUAAGAAGAACCAAAUCGUCGACUGCCCGGACGCCGAAGCCUUAGCAGCUUUCAAGCACAGCGUCCGACACGAAUGGCUCGCCAGACACCUCGGCCAAGAAAAACCGAGAACAAUGGCAGCCCUGGCAAGCAUCAUGACCCGCUUUUGCGCGGGCGAAGAUAGCUGGUUAGCCCGCAGUAGCACCAGUGACCCAAGCACAUCCGAAGUCAGGGAUGGCAAUGGAAAACCACAACGCAGUAAAAGCAAGCGUCGAAAUAAAGAAGACAGCCCAGAUAAUACGGCGGUAAAUGCCGGAUUCAGGGGCUCUCGACCAGGUCAGUGGAAAAAGCCUUUCAAAGGCAGCAGAGAUGGACCAUCCAGCCUAAACAAGAUUCUAGACAAACUAUGUCAGAUUCAUGGCACCCCCGAUAAACCUGCAAAUCACACCACAGAGAAUGCUAGGUCUUCAAGCAGGCCGGUAAGCUAAACGUCGAACACAAGGGGAGGGAGACACCAAGAGAAGACGAGGAGGAACCUCGCCAGCAAAGCACUGGAGGACAGAAAAAAAUUCCCACCAGAGGUUAAAAUAGUAAACAUGAUCCACGUGACGAAGAGGAGAAGCAAACAUGCACUCCGAGACAUACACGCCGUAGAGCCCGUCACCCCUAAGUUCAGCCCCUGGUUGGCCUACCCGAUCACUUUUGAUCGCAGGGAUCACCUGACAAGCAUCCGGCAUGAAGGAUUGGCUGCCUUGGUGUUAGACCCAAUAAUAAACGGAUACCAUCUCACACGAGUCCUUAUGGACGGCGGCAGUGGUUUAAAUCUGAUAUAUCAGGACACGGUCCGCAAAAUGGGGGUUGACCCGACAAAAAUCAGCCACAUUAAUACUACCUUCAAGGGAGUAAUACGAGGCCCAGAGGCCUGCUCCACGGGCUCUCUAAUACUAGAGGUUGUAUUCGGUUCACCCGUCAACUAACAAAGUGAGAAGUUAGACUUCGACAUUGCUCCAUUCCGAAGCGGCUAUCAAGCACUACUCAGAAGAACAACUUUCGCUCGUUUUAAUGCAGUACACAUUACACUUCUCUUAAGCUUACGAUGCAUGGUCCACGUGGCACCAUCAUAGUUAGUGGAAAUAUUGAGCGUUCUCUACGCGCGGAAGAACGUGCGGCGGCUUUAACAGCCGAGCACUAGACGGCCUCACCAACCAGAAUAAAUGACAGGUCAUCAAGACCGCGGACACGGUUAGACGAGUCUGGCGCAUCACUAGAUAUACCUGAGAUUGGUUUGAUGGUUAAACCCUCAUAGACGGUACCAGGGGCUUCCCACGUGUAAUCAGGGCUAGUUCAGCUUAACUUGACUUAUCUUGGAUUUUAAUGGUUUAUCGAGAAUAACCAAUUUUUUGGCACGACGACUUUUACCUAAGUUCUUCUCUUUUACAGAUGACAAUCGUGCUACACCCGUCCAGGACACGGCACAACGGAGACACAGGCGCAGACGUGCAGCAGGGACCCGCUCAAAGGUUUCUUUUCAGAUUAAGACCUUGUGUAAACCUUUUUUCUUGUUGUUCACAUCCUUCGGAUACUCAAUACAACCGAGAAGGAUGCUGACGUUAUUGGCAUUUCACCAUGUCAGAAUAUUGCACGUACCUGGACACUCGGGGUUCCUUAUUAAGGGCAUUGUUCAGCCCGAUAUAUGUCAUAAAGACCGAAUACCUUAGGGAGUGUUCGGCGUCGCGAGUUUGGCCUUAUAUGCAUCAGCUCCGAAUCAUGUCUUUGGUCAAAUGUUGGGUUUGCCCGGCUCACGUGUUUUGUUACCUUACGUUCCGCUCUAUCGGCUAAGGCAGCACCGGGAGAACUACUGCGAUUGUGCCCUGGUUCAUCCGGAGGAGCACCUCAGUAGAGAAAGCCAAAAACUGACUGUCAUGAUAAAGCGCGAGACUGGUCAACCACUCGAUGACUUAGGAGAAUCUUCAGGAUUCCUCUGCAUUAACGAAGGGCCGUUUCCAGGUCAUGUACGUACGCGCACCGUAUUCGGACGAGCGCGGAGGUACCAGGGGCUAUAUAGUAGUCCCACCGUCAAACUCCUAUGGCUAAGUGGAAGUGUUAAAGCAAUAUAGUCUGAUUGCCUCGUUUGCUGUGCUACCACCUCCUUAAUGGACCAAGACAUUGGAUCAAGCGUGAAUACGCGUUUUUGCGAACACCCCCGCAUUAUAUGAGUGGGGGCUGAAGCCGACAACUGCAAACUUUCAGGUUAUAUACAUAUAUACAUAAACGGCCGCACAGGAGGCAUCAUAAUACUUUCAGGCAAAAGUAUAAACACAACCUUUAUAAUUCAAUAAAACAUUGUUUUUACAAUGGGAAUACAUGUCACUAGAACAUAAUAUUCUUUGAGCACUGAGCCUCUAUUGAACGAGCACCUUCAAGGACUUCUUCAAAGUAGUGCUCGGCAGAUACUCGGCCUAUGGCCGAACUCUGGGUUGUAGUAGCGGUGGCCUCCAUCUCUAUCCAGUAUGUCUUGACACGGGCAAGUGCCAUACGCGCACCCUCUAUGCACGCCGACCUCUUCUUAGUGUCGAUGUGCGGCACAACACCAAGGAACUAUUGCACUAAACUAAAAUAACUAUUCGACCUUGGCCCUUCCGGCCACAGAUGAUCCACAACAGACCUCAUGGCAAGCCCGGACAACCUAUGGAGCUCGGCCCACUCGUCCAUUCGCUCAUUCAACAACAGCGGACACACUAGAACAUGGAACUGUGACCAGAAUAGCCUUUCCGCUUCACGAUCUUUUUGAUCCUUGAAGUACUCGGCCGCAUCAACAGCACUAGCUGCCAAAUCCACGUAUGCAUCUGCAGAACUCCAUAGUUCAUCAAGAGGGGCAUACUUCGGAUCUCCAAACUUUAUCCGCAACAAAAAGGGCUUCCCAGCCGUGAUAUCUCCAGCUUGACGCAGCUCCUCCUUCGCCACUCUGAUUUUAGAGUGGGCUUCCUUGGCUGCUACCAUGGCCUUCUCCAGGUCCGCCGCCUUCGCUCGGCUUUCUUUUUUAAGAAGCUGGUAAUGGUCGGCGACAUCUUUCAACUCAACGGCCAUCUUGGCUAAUUUUUCCUUGCUUUGGCAAUGCGCAGCCUGUUCGGCCCUCAGCUCUUCGACUGCCUUUAGAGCGGCCACAUCACUAUUCCUGGCUUGUUCCUUGGCUCCGGCAAGUUUCGCCCGAAGGGUCUCCACGGCGACAGCUCCAUCUGCAGUCACAACAUAUUAAAGAUACUACCAUCAUGCUCCUCUUACUAAGUGUUGAUCACCGGAGAAAUCACAUACCAUGUGCCUUGUCGAGCCGCUUGUUGACAAGCACGAUGUCGGCAUCUGCCGCAUCAAGUUACCGCUUCAGCUCGGCAAACUCACCAGUCCGGCUAGCCACCGGACCUUCAGCCACCUGCACAUGAAGGCGACCUGAUUAUUACCUGGGACUAUGAUCCUCUGUUUGCUGCCGUUCUCAACGGCAACCAGAGUCUCAGGGGCUACUACCUGCAUAGGGCGAACCUAACGUGUGCGGUACUGUCAAAAACAUACAUAUUUCACGUACCUCAAAGCCUUUCAGCAGACUCAUAAAAGCUUCAUGCAACCCGCUUUCGGCGGAUGAAAUCCUCUGAACCACCGUACCCAUUAGCGUACGAUGCGCUUCUGAGAUAGCCGCUUGCUCCAGAAGAUCCUUCAGUGCGUCCGAUCACACACCGGACGGUUCCGGAUUCUUUUUGUUGCUCUCUUUAGGAGACGAAUACUGAGGACUUCGGGUGGCCGAAGAAUUACCCUUUGGCCUCGGUGGAUCAGGAGAAAUCCUCCGUGACAACACCUCAGAGUCACCCGCCUCAUGAGGCGGGGAGGCAUGGGGAGGUGUUUCGCUCUCCAUCAUCUCCGGAAGAAGAUCCCCCGAAGACGAACGCUGUUGAGAAGGGCUACGAUCCGAACUACAAGAUAUAUGCUUCGGUUAUUGUCCUCAGAAGUAAAGCAGGACAUUUUUAUUAUUUAGUGCUUUUUGUUUACUUACAGCUCGGUGGAGGGCUGACCCCCUUUCGGGCACUGUGCGGCAAGGGUACCUUCCGAGGCAGGACCCUCUGGCGAAGAUUUCUUCCCCCGUUUGGAAACCUUUGUUUCCGGGUCUUCAGAGGUGGUCCUCUUCCUUCCUUGGGGAUGUUGGGGAACGUAGCAAUAAUUCAAAAUUUUCCUACGUGUCACCAAGAUCAAUCUAGGAGAUACUAGCAACGAGAGAAAGGGAGUGCAUCUUCAUACCCUUGAAGAUCGCUAAGCGGAAGCGUUACAAGAACGCGGUUGGUGGAGUCGUACACGCAGCGAUUCAAAUUCCGGUCUAUUCCGAUCUAAGCAUCGAACAACGGCACCUCCGCGUUCAACACACGUACAGCCCGGGGACGUCUCUGCUACCUCUUGAGCACUGCGUUGGUUUUCCCCGAAGAGGAAGGGAUGAUGCAGCAAAGUAGCGUAAGUAUUUCCCUCAGUUUUUGAGAACCAAGGUAUCAAUCCAGUAGGAGGCUACGCGCGAGUCCCUCGCACCUGCACAAAACAAAUAAAUCCUCGCAACCAACGCAAAUAGGGGUUGUCAAUCCCUAUAAGGCCACUUACGAGAGUGAGAUCUGAUAGAUAUGAUAAUAUAAUAUUUUUGGUAUUUUUAUGAUAAAAGAUGCAACGUAAAAUAAAGGCAAAGUAAAUAGCAAAGGAAAUAACUAAGUAGUAGGAGAUCAAUAUGAUAAAGAUAGACCCGGGGCCAUAGGUUUCACUAGUGGCUUCUCUCGAGAGCAUACAUAUUCUACGGUGGGUGAACAAAUUACUGUUGAGCAAUUGACAAAAUUGAGCAUAAUUAUGAGAAUAUCUAGGUAUGAUCAUGUAUAUAGGCAUCAUGUCUGAGACAAGUAAACCGACUCCUGCCAGCAUCUACUACUAUUACUCCGCUCAUCGACCGCUAUCCAACAUGCAUCUAGAGUAUUAAGUUAAAAACAGAGUAAUGCCUUAAGCAAGAUGACAUGAUGUAGAGGGAUAGACUCAUGCAAUAUGAAGAAAACCCCAUCUUGUCAUCCUCGAUGGCAACAAUACAAUACGUGCCUUGCUGCCCCUACUGUCACUGGGAAAGGACACCGCAAGAUUGAACCCAAAGCUAAGCACUUCUCCCAUUGCAAGAAAGAUCAAUCUAGUAGGCCAAACCAAACUUGCAAAGAUAAACAAUCAUACAUAAAAGAAUUCAGAGAAGAUUCAAAUAUUAUUCAUAGAUAGACUUGAUCAUAAACCCACAAUUCAUCGGUCUCAACAAACACACCGCAAAAAGAAGAUUACAUUUAAUAGUUCUCCACAAGAGAGGGGGAUAACAUUGUAUUGAGAUCCAAAAAGAGAGAAGAAGCCAUCUAGCUACUAACUAUGGACCCGUAGGUCUGAGGUAAACUAAUCACACUUCAUCGGAAGGGCUAUGGUGUUGAUGUAGAAGCCCUCCGUGAUCGAUGCCCCCUCCGGCAGAGGUCCGGAACAGGCCCCAAGAUGGGAUCUCGUGGAUACAGAAAGUUACAGCGAUGGAGUUAGGGUUUUGACUUCGUAUCUGAUCGUUUGGGGGUACGUCGAUAUAUAUAGGAGGAAGGAGUAUGUCAGUGGAGCAACAGGGGGCCCACGAGGGUGGAGGGUGCGCCUGGUGGGGGUGGGCGCGCCCGCCUACCUAGUGGCCUCCUGUUUCCUUUCUUGAUGUAGGGUCCAAGUCUCCCGGGUCUUGUUCAGUGAGAAAAUCAAGUUCCCGAAGGUUUCAUUCCAUUUGGACUUCGUUUAAUAUUCCUUUUCUUCGAAACCCUAAAACAGCCAAAAAAAACAGCAAUUCUGGGCUGGGCCUCCGAUUAAUAGGUUAGUCCCAAAAAUAAUAUAGAAGUGGAUAAUAAAGCCCAAUAAUGUCCAAAGCAGUAGAUAAUAUAGCAUGGAGCAAUAAAAAAUUAUAGAUACAUUGGAGACGUAUCAAGCAUCCCCAAGCUUAAUUCCUUCUCGUUCUCGAGUAGGUAAAUGAUAAGAACAGAAUUUUUGAUGCGGAGUGCUACUUGGCAUAAUUUUAAUGUAAUUUUUCUUAAUUGUGGUAUGAAUAUUCAGAUCCGAAAGAUUCAAGACAAAAGUUUAAUAUUGACAUAAAAAUAAUAAUACUUCAGGCAUACUAACAAAGCAAUUAUGUCUUCUCAAAAUAACAUGGCUAAAGAAAGUUAUCCCUACAAAAUCAUAUAGUCUGGCUAUGCUCUAUCUUCACCACACAAAAUAUUUAAAUCAUGCACAACCUUGAUGACAAGCCAAGCAAUUGUUUCAUACUUUUGACAUUCUCAAAACAUUUUCAAUCUUCAUGCAAUACAUGAGCGUGAGCCAUGGAUAUAACACUAUAGGUGGAAUAGAGUGGUGGUUGUGGAGAAGACAAAAAAGGAGAAGAUAGUCUCACAUCAACUAGGCGUAUCAACGGGCUAUGGAGAUGCCCAUCAACAAAUAUCAAUGUGAGUGAGUAGGGAUUGCCAUGCAACAGAUGCACUAGAGCUAUAAGUAUAUGAAAGCUCAAAAAGAAACUAAGUGGGUGUGCAUCCAACUUGCUUGCUCAUGAAGACCUAGGGCAUUUUGAGGAAUCCCAUCAUUGGAAUAUACAAGCCAUGCUCUAUAAUGAAAGAUUCCCACUAGUAUAUGAAAGUGAUAACAUGAGAGACUCUCUACUAUGAAGAUCAUGAUGCUACUUUGAAGCACAAGUGUGGUAAAAAGAUAGUAACAUUGUCCCUUCUCUCUUUUUCUCUCAUUUUUUAUUUUUUUAUUUGGGCCUUUUCUCUCUUUUAUGGCCUCUUUUCUUUCAUUCUUUUAUUUUUUGUCCGGAGUCCCAUCCCGACUUGUGGGGGAAUCAUAGUCUCCAUCAUCCUUUCCUCACUGGGACAAUGCUCUAAUAAUGAUGAUCAUCACACUUUUAUUUUUCUUACAACUCAAGAUUACAACUCGAUACUUAGAACAAAAUAUGACUCUAUAUGAAUGUCUCUGUCGGUGUACUGGGAUAUGCAAUGAUUCAUGAGUGACAUGUAUGAAAGAAUUAUGAAUGGUGGCUUUUCCACAAAUACGAUGUCAACUACAUGAUCAUGCUAAGCAAUAUGACAAUGAUGGAGUGUGUCAUAAUGAACGGAACGGUGGAAAGUUGCAUGGCAAUAUAUCUCGGAAUGGCUAUGGAAAUGCCAUAAUAGGUAGGUAUGGUGGCUAUUUUGCGGAAGGUAUAUGGUGGGUGUAUGAUACCGGCGAAAGGUGAGCGGUAUUAGAGAGGCUAGCAAAGGUGGAAGGGUGAGAGUGCGUAUAAUCCAUGGAAUCAACAUUAGUCAUAAAGAACUCAUAUACUUAUUGCAAAAAUCUAAAAGUUAUCAAAACAAAGUAUUACGCGCAUGCUCCUAGGGGUAUAGAUUCGUAGGAAAAGACCAUCGCUCGUCCCCGACCGCCACUCAUAAGGAAGGCAAUCAAAAAAUAAAUCAUGCUCCGACUUCAUCACAUAACGGUUCACCAUAAGUACGUGCUACAGGAAUCACAAGCUUCAACACAAGCAUUUCUCAAAUUCACAACUACUCAACUAGCAUGACUUUAAUAUCACCAUCUUCAUGUCUCAAAACAUUUAUCAAGUAUCAAACUUAUCAUAGUGUUCAACACACUCAUAAGAGAAUUUUAUUAUUUAUCUUAUAUACCAAGCUUAUUAAGACUUUAAGAAAAUUACCAUGCUAUUUAAGACUCUCAAAAUAGAUCAAUAGUUUCUAUAAAAAAAUCCACCACCCUGCUCUAAAAGAUAUAAGUGAAGUACUAGAGCAAAAUUAUAUAACUCAAAGGAUAUAAGCGAAGCACAUAGAGUAUUCUAACAAAUUCUAAAUCAUGUAUGGCUCUCUCAAAAGGUGUGUACAGAAAGGAUGAUUGUGGUAAACUAACAAGCAAAGACUCAAAUAAUACAAGACGCUCCAAGCAAAACACAUAUCAUGUGGCAAAUAUAAAUAUAGCUCCAAGUAAAGUUACCGAUAGAAGUAGACGAAAGAGGGGAUGCCUUCCGGGGCAUCCCCAAGCUUUGGCUUUUAGGUGUCCUUAGAUUAUCUUGGGGGUGCCAUGGGCAUCCCCAAGCUUAGGCUCUUGCCACUCCUUGUUCCAUAAUCCAUCAAAUCUUUACCCAAAACUUGAAAACUUCACAACACAAAACUCAAAGUAGAAAAUCUCGUGAGCUCCGUUAGCAAAAGAAAAUAAAAGACCACUUCAAGGUACUGUAAUGAACUCAUUCUUUAUUUAUAUUGGUGUUAUACCUAAUGUAUUCCAACUUCUCUAUGGUUUAUAAACUAUUUUACUAGCCAUAGAUUCAUCAAAAUAAGCAAACAACACACGAAAAACAGAAUCUGUCAAAAACAGAACAGUCUGUAGUAAUCUGUAACUAGCGCAAGAUUUGCAACCCCAAAAAUUGUAAAAUAAACUUCUGGACGUGAGGAAUUUAUCUAUUAAUCAUCUGAAAAAAUAAUUAACUAAAUAGCACUUUCCAAAUAAAAAUGACAGCAGUUCUCGUGAGCGCUAAAGUUUCUGUUUUUUACAGCAAGUUCAACAAGACUUUCCCCAAGUCUUACCAACGGUUCUACUUGGCACAAAUACUGAUUAAACACAAAAACACAACCAAAACAGAGGCUAGAUAAAUUAUUUAUUACUAAACAGGAGCAAAAAGCAAGGAAUAAAAAUAAUAUUGGGUUGCCUCCCAACAAGCGCUAUCGUUUAACGCCCCUAGGUAGGCAUAACAAGCAAGAAUAGAUCUAGGUAUUGCCAUAAUAGUAAGAUAGAUCAUUAAAACUCAUCUCAUAUUCUCUACGUUCGGCGGCAAUUUUUCUUUGAGGCAAGCAAAAGUAAUCAAAAGGCUAAAUUUAAUGGGACAAAAGUCCCCAAGAUUAACCUUGGGAGGUAUAGGUUCCUCCUUUGGUCCUUCAUAUUGCACAACCAAUUCAUCAUUAUAAGCAUUCUUUUGACAGAACUUUGUGAGCCUAUAUUCAAGAGAAUAUCCUAGUUCAUUAUUUCAAAUAGCCAAAUCAUCAUUAAGUUCAGAGAUUCUGUCAACUAAAACAUUGGUAGGAACCCUUUUUCUAAGAUUUUCAUUGAAAGCAACAUAGUCUAGAGAUCGAAAACGCAUUACUUCUUCUUGAUCAAAGAGGAUAGCCUAUAUGGGAGGAUGGCAAGCGUCCACCCUAUAAUGUGCAAAGAUUUUUUGGCCUCUUUUAUUAUGAAUCUAAACUCAUGAGCCAAAAAGAUAGUAGCGGCACGCUUAACAGAAGAAUGCUCAAUAUUAGAAAAUUCCAGAAAAAUCCUUUGUACGGAAGGAUGCAUGUGCAUGAAUUGUCUUUCAAGUUCAACUACAAGCAUGGCAAUAGAGUCCGCAAGACUACUAGUUCUAUGAAGGAUAGAACUACCCAUAGAAGGUAAAUCACCAGCACAAGUAAAGAAAUCUUGAAUAACUCCUUUUCCAAUAAUAUUACCACUACCAACACUGAAUCUUUUUGUAUGUGAGAUAGUAGGUUCUUUAGUAGGAGCAUCAGAAUUAUUAUCGACAAUAGUUUCCCCAAUUUCAUACAUUAAGGCAGAAGGUAAAGGACUAGCCAUAACGACAAGCAAACAAACUAACACACAAGCAAACAAAAAGCAAGCGGGCAAAAAAAGGCAAUUAGAGAGGGAGGAUAGAGAGAGAGGGCGAAUAAAACGGCAAGGGGGAGAGGAAAACGAGAGGCAAAUGGCAAAUAAUGUCAUGCGGGAGAUAAGGGUAUGUGCUGGGUACUUGUUAUGUUGACUUUUGCGCAAACGAGAGGCAAACGGCGCCAGAAAUCCAUCUUGCUACCUCUUGAGCACUGAGUUGGUUUUCCCCGAAGAGGAAGGGAUGAUGCAGCAAAGUAGCGUAAGUAUUUCCCUCAGUUUUUGAGAACCAAGGUAUCAAUCCAGUAGGAGGCUACGCGUGAGUCCCUAGCACCCGCACAAAACAAAUAAAUCCUCGCAACCAACGCAAAUAGGGGUUGUCAAUCCCUAUAAGGCCACUUACAAGAGUGAGAUCUGAUAGAUAUGAUAAGAUAAUAUUUUUGGUAUUUUUAUGAUAAAAGAUGCAGAGUAAAAUAAAGGCAAAGUAAAUAGCAAAGGAAAUAACUAAGUAGUAGGAGAUCAAUAUGAUAAAGAUAGACCCGGGGGCCAUAGGUUUCACUAGUGGCUUCUCUCGAGAGCAUAAGUAUUCUACGGUGGGUGAACAAAUUAUUGUUGAGUAAUUGACAGAAUUGAGCAUAGUUAUGAGAAUAUCUAGGUAUGAUCAUGUAUAUAGGCAUCACGUCUGAGACAAGUAAACCGACUCCUGCCUGCAUCUACUACUAUGACUCCACUCAUCGACCGUUAUCCAGCAUGCAUCUAGAGUAUUAAGUUAGAAACAGAGUAACGCCUUAAGCAAGAUGACAUGAUGUAGAGGGAUAGACUCAUGCAAUAUUAAGAAAACCCCAUCUUGUUAUCCUCGAUGGCAACAAUACAAUGUGUACCUUGCUGCCCCUACUGUCACUGGGAAUGGACACCGCAAGAUUGAACCCAAAGCUAAGCACUUCUCCCAUUGCAAGAAAGAUCAAUCUAGUAGGCCAAACCAAACUGAUAAUUCGAAGAGACUUGCAAAGAUAACCAAUCAUACAUAAAAGAAUUCAGAGAAGAUUCAAAUAUUAUUCAUAGAUAGACUUGAUCAUAAACCCACAAUUCAUCGGUCUCAACAAACACACCGCAAAAGGAAGAUUACAUCGAAUAGUUCUCCACAAGAGAGGGGGAGAACAUUGUAUUGAGAUCCAAAAAGAGAGAAGAAGCCAUCUAGCUACUAACUAUGGACCCAUAGGUCUGAGGUAAACUACUCACACUUCAUCGGAAGGGCUAUGGUGUUGAUGUAGAAGCCCUCCAUGAUCGAUGCCCCCUCCGGCGGAGCUCCGGAACAGGCCCCAAGAUGGGAUCUCAUGGAUACAGAAAGUUACGGCAAUGGAAUUAGGGUUUUGGCUCCGCAUCUGAUCGUUUGGGGGUACGUGGAUAUAUAUAGGAGGAAGGAGUACGUCGGUGGAGAAACAUGGGGCCCAUGAGGGUGGAGGGCGUGCCUGGUGGGGGUGGGCGCGCCGCCUACCUCAUGGCCUCAUGUUUCCUUUCUUGACGUAGGGUCCAAGUCUCUCGGGUCUUGUUCAUUGAGAAAAUCACGUUCCCGAAGGUUUCAUUUCGUUUGGACUCCGUUUGACACUCCUUUUCUUCGAAACCGUAAAACAGGCAAAAACAGCAAUUCUAGGCUGGGCCUCCGGUUAAUAGGUUAGUCCCAAAAAUAAUAUAAAAGUGGAUAAUAAAGCCCAAUAAUGUCCAAAAAAGUAGAUAAUAUAGCAUGGAGCGAUCAAAAAUUAUAGAUACGUUGGAGACGUAUCAGACUCUUCAUUCUUGAUCCAGCUAGGGGAGAGGAUAAGUUGAGGGAGAACUCUGGCAGCACGACAACGUUGUGGUGGAGCUUGUGGUAUUCCUGCAGGGCUUCGCCAAGCUCUACGGAGGAGAAGGAAGAGUUGGAGGAGGGAGGGGCUGCGCCAGGGGGAGGGUCUCGUUCUUCUGGCAGCCCUCCCACCCCCACUAUUUAUAGGAGAAGGAGAGAGGGGGCCGGCCCCUUCAGAUCCCAUCUAGGGGAGGGGCGGCGUCCAGGGAGGGAACCCUAGAUGGGUUUUGGGUGCCCCCACCCCUAGGAGACUUGCCCCACAAGCCAGGAGGGGAGGCUGCCCUAGGGGAGGCGCCCCCACCUCUCCUGGUUACAUGAGAGAGGGUGGGAGUGGCGCACAGCCCCUUAGUGGGCUGGUGUGCCCCUUCCCCUUGGCCCAUAAGGCCCCCCAACACUUGCCGGGGGCCUCCGAAACCCCUUUCGGUCACGCUGGUCGUCACCUAGUACCCCUAGAACAAUUCUGGACUCCAAUACCCUUCGUCCAAUAUAUCGAUCUUCACCUCCGGACCAUUCCGGAACUCCUCGUCACGUCCGGGAUCUCAUCCGAGACUCCGAACAACCUUCGGUAACCACAUACUAUUUCCCAUAAUAGCUCUAGCGUCACCGAACCUUCAGUGUGUAGACCCUACAGGUUCGGGAACAAUGCAGACAUGACCGAGACAUCUCUCCGGACAAUAACCAAUAGCGGGAUCUGGAUACCCAUAUUGGCUCCCACAUGUUCCAUGAUGAUCUCACGAUGAACCACGAUGUCGGGGAUUCAAUCAAUCCCGUGUACAAUUCCCUUUGACUAUCGGUAUGUUACUUGCCCGAGAUUCGAUCGCAGGUAUCCCCAUACCUCGUUCAAUCUCGUUACCGGCAAGUCUCUUUACUCGUUCCAUAACGCAUGAUCUCAUGACCAACUCCUUAGUCACAUUGAGCUCAUUAUGAUGAUGCAUUACUGAGUGGGCCCAGAGAUACCUCUCCGUCAUACGGAGUGACAAAUUCCAGUGUCGAUUCGUGCCAACCCAACAGACACUUUCGGAGAUACCUGUAGUGCACCUUUAUAGCCACCCAGUUAUGCUGUGACGUUUGGUACACCCAAAGCAUUCCUACGGUAUCCGGGAGUUGCACAAUCUCAUGGUCUAAGGAAAUGAUACUUGACAUUAGAAAAGCUUUAGCAAACGAACUUCACAAUCUUGUGCUACGCUUAAGAUUGGGUCUUGUCCAUCACAUCAUUCUCCUAAUGAUGUGAUCCCAUUAUCAAUGACAUCCAAUGUCCAUGGUCAGGAAACCAUAACCAUCUAUUGAUCAACGAGCUAGUCAACUAGAGGCUUACUAGGGACAUGUUGUGGUCUAUGUAUUCACAAAUGUAUUACGAUUUCCAGUUAAUACAAUUAUAGCAUGAACAAUAGACAAUUAUCAUGAACAAGGAAAUACAAUAAUAACCAUUUUAUUAUUGCCUCUAGGGCAUAUUUCCAACAGUCUCCCACUUGCACUAGAGUCAAUAAUCUAGUUCACAUCACUAUGUGAUUGUAAUGAAUCCCACACCCAUGGGGUUUGUUCAUAUCUCGCUUGUGAGAGAGGUUAUUAGUCAAUGGGUUUGAACCUUUCAGGUCUGUGUGUGCUUUACAAAUCUCUAUGUCAUCUUGUAGAUGCAGCUACCACGUGCUACUUGGAGCUAUUCCAAAUAACUGCUCUACUAUACAAAUCCAGUUUACUACUCAGAGUCAUCAGGAUUAGUGUCAAAGUUUGCAUCGACGUAACCCUUUACGACGAACUCUUUUACCACCUCCAUAAUCGAGAAAAUUCCUUAGCCCACUAGUUACUAAGGAUAAGUUCGACCGCUGUCAUGUGAUCCAUUCCUGGAUCACUCUUGUACCCCUUGACUGACUCAUGGCAAGGCACACUUCAGGUGCGGUACACAGCAUAGCAUACUGUAGAGCCUACGUCUAAAUCAUACGGGACGACCUUCGUCCUUUCUCUCUCUCUUCUGUCGUGGUCUGGUCUUGAGUCUUACUCAAUACUCACACCUUGUAACACAGCCAAGAACUCCUUCUUUGCUGAUCUAUUUUGAACUCCUUCAAAAUCUUAUCACGGUAUGUAUUCAUUUGAAAGUACUAUUAAACAUUUUUGAUCUAUCCUUAUAGAUCUUGAUGCUCAAUGUUCAAGUAGCUUAAUCCAGGUUUUCCAUUGAAAAACACUUUUCAAAUAACCCUGUAUGCUUUCCAGAAAUUCUACAUCAUUUCUGAUCAACAAUAUGUUAAAAACAUAUACUCAUCAAAAUUUCUAUAGUGCUCCCACUCACUUCUUUGGAAAUACAAGUUUCUCAUAAACUUUGGAUAAACCUAAAAUCUUUGGUCAUCUCAUCAAAGCGUACAUUCCAACUCCGAGAUGCUUACUCCAGUCCUUAGAAGGAUUGCUGGAGCUUUGCAUACUUGUUAGCAUCUUUCAGGGUUGACAAAACCUUCUGGUUGUAUCACAUACAACCUUUCCUCAAGAAAAUCAUUGAGGAAACAAUGUUUUGACAUCCUAUCUGCAAGAUUUCAUAAAUAAUGCAGUAAUUGCUAACAUAAUUCCAACAGACUCUUAUCAUCGCUACGAGUGAGAAAGUCUCAUCGCAGUCAACUCCUUGAACUUGUCAGAAAACAUCUUAAUGACAAGUCGAGCUUUGUUAAUGGUGACAGUUACCAUCAUUGUCCGUCUUCCUUUUAAAAUCCAUCUGCACCGAACAGUCUUACGACCAUCAAGUAGUUCUUCCAAAGUCUAUACUUUGUUUUUAUACAUGGAUCCUCUCUUGGUUUUUAUAUGGCCUCGAGCCAUUCGUCGGAAUCCGGGCCCACCAUCGCUUCUUCAUAGCUCAUAGGUUCAUUGUUGUCUAGCAACAUGACUUCCAAGACAGGAUUACGUACCACUCUGAAGUAGUACGCAUCCUUGUCAACCUAUGAGGUUUGGUAGUGACUUGAUCCGAUGUUUCAUGAUCACUAUCAUAUGCUUCCACUUCAAUUGGUGUAGGUGCCACAGGAACAACUUCCUGUGCCCUGCUACACACUAUUUGAAGUGACGGUUCAAUAACCUCAUCAAGUCUCCAUCAUCCUCCCACUCAAUUCUUUCGAGAGAAACUUUUCCUCGAGAAAGGACCCGGAUCUGAAAUAGGAGGUAUACCCAACUAUUUUGGGUAUUCUAUGAAGAUGCAUUUAUCCGCUUUGGGUUCGAGCUUAUCAGCCUGAAACUUUUUCACAUAAGCGUCACAACCCCAAACUUUUAAGAAACGACAACUUAGGUUUUUCUAAACCAUAGUUCAUACGGCGUCAUCUCAACGGAAUUGCAUGGUGCCCUAUUUAAAGUGAAUGCGGUUGUCUCUAAUGCCUAACCCAUAAACGAUAGUGGUAAUUCGAUAAAAGAAAUCAUGGUAUGCACCAUAUCCAAUAGGGUGCAGUUAUGAUGUUCGGACACACCAUCACACUAUGGUGUUCCAGGCGGUAUUAGUUGUGAAACAAUUUCCACAAUGUCUUAAUUGUGUGCCAAACUCGUAACUCAGAUAUUCAUCUCUAUGAUCUUAUCAUAGACAUUUUAUCCUCUUGUCACGACGAUCUUCAACUUCACUCUGAAAUUACUUCAACCUUUCAAUAAUUCAGACUUGUGUUUCAUCAAGUAAAUAUACUCAGCAUCUACUCAAAUCAUCUGUGAAGUAAGAAGAUAACGAUAUCCACUGCGUGCCUCAGCACUCAUUGGACUGCACACAUCAAAAUGUAUUACUUCCAACAAGUUGCGUUCUUGUUCCAUCUUACUGAAAACGAGGCCUUUCAGUCAUCUUGCCCAUGUGGUAUGAUUUGCAUGUCUCAAGUGAUUCAAAAUCAAGUGAGUCCAAAUGAUCCAUCUGUAUGGAGUUUCUUCAUGCAUAUCUACCAAUAGACAUGGUUCGCAUGUCUCAAUCUUUUCUAAAACGAGUGAGUCCAAAGAUCCAUCAACAUGGAGCUUCUUCAUGCAUUUUAUACCAACAUGACUCAAAUGGCAGUGCCACAAGUAUGUGGUACUAUCAUUAGUAUCUUACAUCUUUUGGCAUGAACAUGUGUAUCACUACGAUCGAGAUUCAAUAAACCAUUCAUUUUAGGUGCAAGACCAUUGAAGGUAUUAUUCAAAUAAACAGAGUAACCAUUAUUCUCCUUAAAUGAAUAACCUUAUUGUGAUAAACAUAAUCCAAUCAUGUCUAUGCUCAACGCAAACGCCAAAUAACAAUUAUUUAGGUUCAACACCAAUCCCGAUGGUAGAGGGAGCAUGCGUUGUUUUCUCACAUCAACCUUGGAAACACUUCCAACACAUAUCGUCAUCUCACCUUUAGCUAGUCUCCACAGCCUUUCAUUUCGAGUUACUAACACUUAGCAACCGAACCGGUAUUUAUUACCCUGGUGCUACUAGGAGUACUAGUAAAGUAGACAAUAAUAUAAGUAUAUUCAAAAUACUUCUGUCGACCUUGCCAGCCUUCUCAUCUACCAAGUAUCUAGGGUAGUUCUGCUUUAGUGACCGUUCCCCUCAUUACAGAAGCACUUAGUCUCGUGUUUGGGUUCAACCUUGGGUUUCUUCACUAGAGCAGCAACUGAUUUACCAUUUCAUGAAGUAUCCCUUCUUUCCCUUCCCCUUCUUGAAACUAGUGGUUUAACCAUCAACAAUUUAUGCUCCUACUUGAUUUCUACUUUCGCGAUGUCAAACAUCGCGAGUUGCUCAAGGAUCAUCAUGUCUAUCCCUGACAUGUUAUAGUUCAUCACGAAGCUCUAAUAGCUUGGUGGCGGUGACUAUGGAGAACCAUCACUAUCUAAUCUGGAAGAUUAACUCCCACUCGAUUCAAGCGAUUGUAGUACUCAGACAAUCUGAGCACAUGCUCAACGAUUGAGAUUUUCUCCCUUAGUUUGCAGGCUUAAGAAACUUGUCAGAGGUCUCAUACCUCUUGAUGUGGGCACUAGUCUGAAAUCCCAAUUUAAGUCUUUGGAACAUCUCAUAUGUUCUGCGACGUUUCAAAAACAUCUUUGGUGCCACAAUUCUAAAGCAUUACGCACUGAACUAUCACGUAGUCAUCAAAAUGUGUAUGUCAGAUGUUUCCCAACAUCUACAGACGAUGCUCGAGGUUCAGCACACCGAGCGGUGCUUUAAGGACAUAAGCCUUCUGCACAGCAAUGAGGAUACUCCUCAGUUGACGGACCCAGUCCGCAUAAUUUCUACUACCAACUUUCAACUAAAUUUUCUCUAGGAACAUAUCUUAAACAGUAGAACUAAAGUGUAAGCUACGACAUAAUUUGCAAAGAACUUUUGACUAUGUUCAUGAUAAUUAAGUUCAUCUAAUUAUUUAAUGAACUCCCACUUAUAUAGACAUCCCUCUAGUCAUCUAAGUGAUACAUGAUCCGACUCAACUAGGCCAUGUCCGAUCAUCACGUGAGACGGACUAGUCAUCAUCGGUGAACAUCUUCAUGUUUAUCGUAUCUACUAUACGACUCAUGUUCGACCUUUUGGUCUCUUGUGUUCCGAGGCCAUGUCUGUACAUGCUAGGCUCGUCAAGUCAACCUAAGUGUUUUGCAUGUGUAAAUCUGGCUUACACCCGUUGUAUGCGAACGUUAGAAUCUAUCACACCCGAUCAUCACGUGGUGCUUCGAAACAACGAACCUUCGCAACGGUGCACAGUAAGGGGGAACACUUUCUUGAAAUUUUAGCGAGGGAUCAUCUUAUUUAUGCUACCAUCGUUCUAAGCAAAUAAGAUGUAGACAUGACAAACAUCACAUGCAAAUCAUAAAGUGACAUGAUAUGGCCAAUAUCAUCUUGCGCCUUUGAUCUCCAUCUUCGAGGGGCGGCAUGAACACCAUCGUCACCGGCAUGACACCAUGAUCUCCAUCAUCAUGAUCUCCAUCAUCGUGUCUUCAUGAAGUUGCCUCGCCAACUAUUACUUCUACUAAUAUGGCUAACGGUUAGUGAUUAAGCUAUGUACCUAGGGUAGGGGCAUGGACCUGUCAUAAGAGCCCUACCCAAGGACAUCCCUGGAAGAAGUCACCUUUCAAUCGACUUGAAGGUAUCCCACUCGACGGAUUCAAGACACUCGACCAGGAAGCCAUCACUCGACUACGAAGCCAACCACUCGACUGCCAGGAGAUCUAAAGUCACUCCGCAGGCAAACGGUCGGCCAUUAAGUAGUCUUUAUGGUCAUCAUAGAACUUUAUUAGGGACGUUACCAGUAAUGCCCAGUCUUAAUGUAUUUUAACCCUGCAUUACUGAGGGCGGGAGAGGUCUGGCAAAAUCUAUAUAAGCCACCCCCCUCCUCAGUAGCAGGGGUUCGCACCCCUGUUAUUCACACACCCAUAAUCCAAUCGACCGCCUCCGGGCACCGAGACGUAGGGCUGUUACUUCCUCCGUGAAGGGCCUGAACUCGUACAUCCUGGUGUGUUGACAACUUCUCCAUAGCUGAGAUCUAGCCUCUCCAUACAUACCCCCCUACAUAACUGUCAGAGUUAGAACCACGACAGUUGGCGCCCACCGUGGGGCAGGAAUCUUAGCGCCUAGUUGGAGAAGUUGUGAUUUUUCCGAUCCCUUUGAUCAUGGUUUCAUGCGGAGUUUUGGUGGAGGGCCGCGAGAUCUGUCUCGGCGCGCUCACGUUCAUCGCCGAUGACUCUGCUUGGCUUCAGGAGGCUCCACUCGACAUCGACGCGCUCCCCGUCCGCGGUGCGAUGCACUUCUGCGCAUGUGUUCGUGGCGUCCUCCUGCGGCAGCCGUCGACCCAGUAGCAGUCGGCUCCCAUGUCAUCUCCCCGCCCUGUCUCCCACCGGCGCAAGCGCUCCGGUCGGUCGAGACUUCAGAGGUGGGUGAGGCAUGCCGUGGCUCGCCAGUCGGCCGCCCCACAAGUCGCGGCAAUCGAGCCCGACGAAUCCCUCUACGGCCUGUUCGACUGGCUCCGCGGAGACCGCAUCCGAGUGCGACAGCAGCGACCCAGCGGCUGAGGUUCUGGCGGUCAACGGAACACACAGUCCUCCCAGUUUCCCUCGUACCGAUGGAGGCGCGGGUGGGGGCGACCCGUCGCAUCCCCACGAUGAGUAUCUCGCCGAACCUCUCAUGUCGUUGCAGCGAGAGGAGCUUCGCCGCCGGAACAUGGAUGCACUCCACACUCCUAUCGUCGGAGAAACCCCCGAGGCCCGGGCCUUGGAGGACGCGCGCUUGGCUAACUUGGCCGAGCGCACUCGACUGGAGAAUCUCCAGCGAAUACUCGACGAGCAAGCGCGUCAGUGAGCUCCCGAGUCCAGUCGACGUCAACUCUUCCCGCCGACGCAGGUAUAUCGAACCCCAGUUCAGAAUUUGGCAGCCGCGGCCCGUAUAGCAGAAUCGAUUCAGCCCUCCCAGUCAGAGGCUGGCAGGGGCUUGUUGCAAAUUAGAGCGUUGCUCCGGGCAGCGGGAAACCAGAAUUCUGCUGUUUCUCAGUCGCGGAAUAGGAUCCACAGUCGAUCCGUUGCAACGGAUACAGCCCAGUCGGUUCAUAGCCCAAGAUCGCCCCCGAGGCGUGAGGGACGUGGAGACCGGCACGAUCAGUACAGAAGAAACGAGCAGUAUGAUCACCGAUUCGAUCGUGAUGAUCGACGUCGAGUGCCAACCCCUCCCUCGAGGAGUGGGUCAUAUGCGCCUCGACAGCGGGAUGACAGACGCCCUCAUAGUGUGGGGCGGAGGAUUCCAGUCGACCCCAGGGACCCAGGCUUUGAUGCGAGAUCCAUCCUCGUUCAAGGUUUGGUUGACAGGAACAGAGCUCACCGAGAAGGCCACGACAGAGAUGCGCCUGCCAGCAGCAUAGCACAUGUUUCGGGGCCAGAGUGUUUCAGUCGAGCCAUCAGAGCCACAGUGAUUCCUCCCAACUUCAGGUUGGCGACUGGAGUCAGCAAGUUCACCGGUGAGUCUAAACCUGACACUUGGCUCGAAGAUUACCGAGUGGCUGUACAGAUUGGCGGUGGCAAUGAUGAGGUGGCUAUGAAGCAUUUGCCUCUCAUGUUAGAGGGCUCAGCCAGAGCGUGGCUAAAUCAGUUAGCACCCAGCAGCAUCUACACUUGGGAGGACCUCUCCCGAGUGUUUGUCACAACCUUUGAGGGAACAUGCAAGUGACCUGCAGGCCUUACAGAAUUGCGGUCUUGCAUACAGAAACCGAAUGAAACUCUGAGGGAUUACAUCCAGAGGUGGAUCACAUUGCAUCACACAGUUGAGAAUGUACCAGAUCAUCAAGCAGUUUGUGCCUUUAAAGAAGGCGUUAAGUACAGAGAACUGAAUCUGAAGUUCGGUCGAACUGGAGAGAUGUCUCUGAAUCGGAUGAUGGAGAUUGCCACCAAAUACGCUAAUGGUGAAGACGAAGAUCGACUCCGGAGUGGCAAGCACAAGGCAGUCGCCCAAGAAACCGGAGGAAAUUCCAAUCAGAAACAAAAGCGGAAGGCCGAGCCAGCCGCCCCUGGGGAGGCCCUGGCCGUAACCCAGGGAAAAUUCAAGGGAAAACCCAAGGGGCCCUGCAACCCGAAGAAAGUUAAGGAUCAAGAUGGAAAUAAUGUUUUGGAUCUGCCAUGUCACAUCCACACCAAGAAAGAUGAAGAGGGUAAUCUUAUUUACCCAAAGCAUACCACUCGACAGUGCCGGCUCCUGAUCCAGCAGUUUCAGGGCAAGCAGUCCAAAGAUAAGGAAAAAGAGUUGGACAGAGUUGAGGACAAGGAAGAUAGUGACGAUGGAUACCCCCAAGUCAAUUCCACCCUGAUGAUUUUUGCUGAUGUCGAAAGCAAAAGUCGACUGAAAGUCAUUAACCGUGAGGUGAAUAUGGUUGCUUCGGCAACACCCAGUUAUCUGAAGUGGUCUCAGACUGCCAUCGCAUUCGACCAGUCUGAUCAUCCUACACACAUUGCCACCCCUGGGAGGCAAGCUUUGGUGGUUGACCCAGUUGUCGAAGGCACUCGACUGACCAAAGUCCUGAUGGAUGGUGGCAGUGGCCUGAACAUACUGUAUGCAGAAACAUUGAAAGGGAUGGGCAUUCCGAUGUCCAGGCUCAGUACCAGUAACAUGAGCUUCCACGGAGUCAUUCCCGGGAAGAAAGCCGAAUCACUCGGCCAGAUUGCUCUUGAUGUGGUUUUCGGUGAUUCAAAGAAUUACCGCAAGGAAAAGUUCACAUUCGAGGUUGUGGACUUCCAAAGUGCUUAUCAUGCUAUUUUGGGCAGGCCAGCUUAUGCACGCUUCAUGGCUCGACCGUGUUAUGUGUAUCUCAAAUUGAAGAUGCCUGGCCCCAGAGGUGUGAUCACUGUUACGGGUAAUCGGAAGAAAGCAGAAGAGUGUUUUCAGAAAGGAUCAAAGAUCGCUGAUGCUCAGAUGGCGGUGGUCGAGCUGCAAGAGUACCAGAAGACUGCUGAUCCGAGUAAAUUGCUACGAGCCAAGAAGCCUGCUUCAGAAUCAGCUUUUCAGUCGUCCGGUGAAACAAAGCCAGUCCACAUUCACCCGACCGACCCAAUGCUGCCCCGACUCACAUCUCAACGAUGCUCGACUCCAAAUAGGAAGGAACGCUCGUCCAGCUCCUCCGUGAGAACUGGGACAUCUUCGCAUGGAAGCCCUCUGACAUGCCUGGAGUUCCUAGGGAGCUGGCUGAGCACCGUCUACGAGUCGACCCAAAAUUCAAGCCUGUGAAAGAACAUCUUCGACGGUCCGCCGUCUAGAAGAGGAAAGCUAUUCGUGAGGAGGUGGCUCGGCUCUUAGCAGCGGAGUUCAUCCGAGAGAUUUACCACUCUGAGUGGCUCGCCAAUGUUGUCAUGGUCCCUAAGAAGGACAAGUCACUUUGCAUGUGCAUUGAUUUUAAACAUAUCAAUCGGGCCUGCCCGAAACAUCAUUUUCCUCUCCCUCACAUCGACCAAAUAGUCGACUCAACCGCGGGGUGCGAGUGAUUGUCUUUUCUAGACGCCUAUUCCGGGUACCAUCAGAUCCGUCUGUAUGGACCCGACGAGAUCAAAAUGGCUUUCAUCACUCCAUUCGGAUGCUUCUGUUAUGUCACCAUGCCGUUCGGCCUCAAGAAUGCUGGAGCCACGUUCAUGAGGAUGAUUCAGAAGUGUUUACUCACUCAAAUUAGUCGGAAUGUGGAGGCAUACAUGGAUGCUAUUGUGGUUAAGUCACGGAAAGGUUCCGACCUGUGGACUGACCUUGCUGAAACCUUUGCCAACCUCAGGAGGUAUGAUAUCAAACUCAAUCCAUCAAAGUGCACAUUCGGAGUUCCAGGUGGAAAGUUACUCGGUUUUCUCGUUUCCGAACGGGGAAUCGACGCCAAUCCUGAAAAAGUUGGUACCAUACUCCGGAUGAAGCGUCCUGUGCGUGUGCACGAUGUCCAAAAGCUUACAGGUUGCUUGGCCGCUCUAAGUCGAUUCAUUUCUCAUCUCGGUGAAAAGGUGUUGCCUCUUUACCGACUGAUGAAGAAGUCUGACAAGUUGGAGUGGACUCCAGAAGCUGAUGCAGCAUUUGCAGAGCUCAAAGCUCCGCUCUCCACCCAGCCGGUGCUUGCUGCCCCAAUCAGUAAAGAGCCUCUGCUGCUUUACAUUGCAGCCACGGGACAAGUUGUCAGUACAGUACUUACGGUCGAGCGGGAAGAAGAAGGAAAGGCCUUCAGAGUUCAGCGCCCAGUAUAUUAUGUGUCUGAAGUUUUGACCCCUUCAAAACAAAGAUAUCCUCGUUACCAGAAGCUUGUAUAUGGGAUUUAUAUGACCACGAAGAAGGUUGCACAUUACUUCUCUGACCACUCCAUUACAGUCGUCAGCGAUGCCCCACUGUCAGAGAUUCGGCACAAUAGAGAUGCAACUGGUCGAGUGGCAAAGUGGGCGAUUGAACUCCUUCCCCUAGAUAUCAAGUUUGAAGCAAAGAAGGCUAUCAAGUCCCAAGCAAUCGCAGAUUUCGUCGCCGAGUGGAUUGAACAGCAACUUCCGAAUCAAAUUCACUCGGAGCACUGGACCAUGUUCUUCGAUGGAUCUAAGAUGCUGAAUGGUUCCGGUGCUGGGGUAGUAUUAGUCUCCCCCCGAGGAGAUAAGCUCAGAUACGUUCUCCAGAUUCACUUUGAUUCCUCCAAUAAUGAAGCAGAGUAUGAAGCACUUUUGUAUGGGUUGUGCAUGGCCAUUUCACUCGGCGUCCGUCGCCUCAUGGUCUAUGGUGACUCAGAUUUGGUGGUUAAUCAGGUGAUGAAGGAGUGGGACGUCAGAAGUUCAGCAAUGACUGGUUAUUGCAAUGUAGUGAGAAAGCGAGAAAAGAAAUUCGAGGGGUUAGAGCUUCAUCACAUCCCCCGACUGAAAAAUCAAGCGGCUGACGAUUUGGCAAAGAUAGGCUCCAAGAGGGAAGCCAUUCCCAGCAACGUGUUCCUAGAGCACAUCCACUCACCGUCAGUCCAAGAAGAUCAUUUUACAGAAGAAGCCCCGCAGCCGAAAAGCGCCACAGAUCCGACUGAAGUUGAAGUUCCUGCUGUGGUCGGCCUAAUCAUGGAAGUCUUGGCAAUCACUCCCGACUGGACGAUACCAUACAUCGCGUAUAUCCUAAGGAAAGAACUCCCGGAGGACGAGGAAGAGGCUCGACAGAUCGUCCGUCGAUCCAAGGCCUUCACAGUCAUAAAGGGACAGUUGUAUAGAGAAAGCGCGACUGGAAUCGGUCAGAAGUGCAUAACACCAGAAGAAGGCCAGAUAAUCCUUGAUGAGAUCCACUCGGGGACCUGUGGUCACCAUGCGUCUUCUUGGACCAUUGUGGCUAAAGCAUACCGAGCGGGAUUUUACUGGCCAAGAGCAAAUGAAAUGGCAAAGGAGAUAGUCAACAAGUGUGAGGGGUGUCAGUUCUACUCCAACAUGUCGCACAAGCCUGCAUCAGCCCUGAAGACAAUUCCACUCGUCUGGCCAUUCGCUGUUUGGGGACUGGACAUGGUUGGACCGUUGAGAACAGGCAGGAGCGGCUUCACACAUGUGCUUGUGGCAGUCGACAAGUUUACCAAAUGGAUUGAAGCUAAACCUAUCAAGAAUCUUGAUGCCUUCACUGCUAUCAGUUUCAUCAGGGAGUUAACAUUCAGAUAUGGAGUCCCGCAUAGCAUCAUCACUGACAAUGGAUCAAACUUUGAUUCGGACAAGUUCAGAGCCUUUUGCGCCUCGCAAGGCACGCGAGUCGACUACGCAUCGGUCGCCCAUCCCCAGUCGAAUGGACAAGCUGAAAGAGCAAAUGGUCUGAUUCUCAAAGGCUAAAGCCUCGACUGAUGCGUGAUCUCAAGCACGCGGCAGGUGCUUGGGUCGACGAGCUUCUGUCAGUUCUGUGGGGAUUGAGGACCACCCCGAACCGGUCGACUGGAAGAACUCCAUUAUUUCUGGUUUAUGGAGCCGAAGCAGUCCUGCCAAGUGAUCUACUUCACAACGCACCCCGAGUCGAACUUUAUACCGAAGAUGAAGCAGAACAAGCCUGGCAAGACACAGUCGACCUCCUAGAAGAAGAGAGGGAAAUGGCCAUGAUCAGAUCGACCAUUUAUCAGCAAGACUUGCGUCGAUUCCACGCCAGAAAUGUGAAGAGUCGAGCCUUCCAAGAAGGAGAUUUGGUCCUCCGAGUGGAUCAACAGAAACCACACAAGCUUGCUCCUACUUGGGAAGGCCCCUUCAUCGUCACCAGAGUCCUCCACAAUGGAGUGUAUCACCUAUACAAUGUUGAUCGCCAGAUCGACGAGCCGCGAGCUUGGAAUGCGGAACUACUCCGCCCCUUUUACACUUGAGUUCUCUCUCGGAUGAGAUGUAAUAAGAAAAACUUCUGCAGCUUGUUUUUAUCAAAGACAAGAGUGUUCCAAUAAUUGCUGUCACUUUUGUUUGCAUAUGAAAUCCCCCAGUGGGUGACUUAGCUGUGAAUCCGUUUUGCCUAAGUUUGUAAAAAAAAUCCUACCGAGUGGUGAGCCAGACUCCCACUCGGGGGCUUAGCCGCAGUCCAGUACUCGCCUAAGUGUUUAAAAAUCCUACCGAGUGGAGAGCAAACCUCCCACUCGGGGGCUUAGCUGCAGUCCAGUACUCGCCUAAGUGUUUAAAAAUCCUAUCGAGUGGAGAGCAAACCUCCCACUCGGGGGCUUAGCUGCAGUCCAGUACUCGCCUAAGUGUUUAAAAAUCCUACCGAGUGGAGAGCAAACCUCCCACUCGGGGGCUUAGCUGCAGUCCACUACUCGCCUAAGAGUUUAAAAAUCCUACCGAGUGGAGAGAAAACCUCCCACUCGGGGGCUUAGCUGCAGCCCAGUGCUCGCCUAAGUUUGAAAAAAAUCCUACCGAGUGGAGAGCAAACCUCCCACUCGGGGGCUUAGCUGCAGCCCAGUGCUCGCCUAAGAGUUUAAAAAUCCUACCGAGUGGAGAGCAAACCUCCCACUCGGGGGCNNNNNNNNNNNNNNNNNNNNNNNNNNNNNNNNNNNNNNNNNNNNNNNNNNNNNNNNNNNNNNNNNNNNNNNNNNNNNNNNNNNNNNNNNNNNNNNNNNNNNNNNNNNNNNNNNNNNNNNNNNNNNNNNNNNNNNNNNNNNNNNNNNNNNNNNNNNNNNNNNNNNNNNNNNNNNNNNNNNNNNNNNNNNNNNNNNNNNNNNNNNNNNNNNNNNNNNNNNNNNNNNNNNNNNNNNNNNNNNNNNNNNNNNNNNNNNNNNNNNNNNNNNNNNNNNNNNNNNNNNNNNNNNNNNNNNNNNNNNNNNNNNNNNNNNNNNNNNNNNNNNNNNNNNNNNNNNNNNNNNNNNNNNNNNNNNNNNNNNNNNNNNNNNNNNNNNNNNNNNNNNNNNNNNNNNNNNNNNNNNNNNNNNNNNNNNNNNNNNNNNNNNNNNNNNNNNNNNNNNNNNNNNNNNNNNNNNNNNNNNNNNNNNNNNNNNNNNNNNNNNNNNNNNNNNNNNNNNNNNNNNNNNNNNNNNNNNNNNNNNNNNNNNNNNNNNNNNNNNNNNNNNNNNNNNNNNNNNNNNNNNNNNNNNNNNNNNNNNNNNNNNNNNNNNNNNNNNNNNNNNNNNNNNNNNNNNNNNNNNNNNNNNNNNNNNNNNNNNNNNNNNNNNNNNNNNNNNNNNNNNNNNNNNNNNNNNNNNNNNNNNNNNNNNNNNNNNNNNNNNNNNNNNNNNNNNNNNNNNNNACCGAGUGGUGAGCCAGACUCCCACUCGGGGGCUUAGCUGCAGCCCAGUGCUCGCCUAAGUUUGAAAAAAUCCUACCAAGUGGAGAGCAAACCUCCCACUCGGGGGCUUAGCUGGAGCCCAGUGCUCGCCUAAGAGUUUAAAAAUCCUACCGAGUGGAGAGCAAACCUCCCACUUGGGGGCUUAGCAGCAGCCCAGUGCUCGCCUAAGUUUGAAAAAUCCUACCGAGUGGAGAGCAGACCUCCCACUCGGGGGCUUAGCUGUAGCCCAGCGCUCGCCUAAGUACGGAACGCAACCCAAUCCGCAAGGACAACGAGGUGCAAAUCGACUGCUACCUUCUCCUUCGGAGCUGCACCACAAAUGCAAAGUUAUUUCGAGUGAAGAUCGAGUUCCACUCGAUGGAUCAUCCAUGAAGAUAUUCAAUGAUAAAUCAAGUUCAGAUAAGACCUAAAGGUCCCAGGCCUCAGAUCAAAGUACUCGAUCCCUCGGCUCGACAGAGUUUAACGGUUACAAAAUCCACUCGGCAUUCCGAGGCAAAUUUAAAGUGAAGCAUAAAAGUUUUUCAUUCCUCAAGCGGAGGACUGGAAGGGGCGACGAACUCGUCCAAGUCUAUCCCGUCUGCAAUACGAGUAGCAGCAGCGAUGAAAGUCUCCAUGAAGUCUUGAAAGUUGUGCUUCCUGGUAUUGGUGACUUGGAUGGCGGCCAGCUUUUCUUCUCGCGCCUCCUUGCAAUGGACGCGGACCAGAGACAGAGCGACAUCAGCACCACAUCUAGCAGAAGAUUUCUUCCAUUCCGCCACUCGACCCGGGACUUCAUUCAGUCGAGCCAUCAGGGACUUGAGGUCGUUCUGAAGCGUCGUCCCAGGCCAGAGUGAUGUGUCGAUCCGCGACAUCGCAACCUUCAGCCGAGCAAGAUAGUCAACAACGCUGGUAACACGAGACUCCAGUCGGAGCACGUUCAUAGCAGCCUCGUCCUUCACAAGAGAAUUGGCGGGAUCCAAGCCUGGCUCCACUCGACUGGUUUCCUCUUCAAAGCUCUGGCAGAAUUCUGCAAACACGAUUCAAGAAUAAGACAGUGCCCCUACACGGGCUUGGUAACUGCAAGACAGCUGGGUCGGAGUAAUUACCUUCGAGCAUGACGAACAGCUUCUUGGCGGGUCCACCGAGAUAAGCCUCCAGAUCAUUCAUCUUCCCCGCCAGCUCACCCGCCUUGUCAUGUAGAACCAUCUUGUCGUUCUUCAGUCGGCUGACCUCUUGAUUAGCUGUCUCGAGAGCAGUUUUCAGUCUAGAGUUCUCCUGUUCAAGAGUUCCGACCGAAGCCAGUUUCUCUUCUGCAAGCUUCGUUUUGCUCAAGGCCUCCUUCUGCGCUUCGGCAAGAUCUUGAUCCUUCUUCUUCAGAGCUUCCUCCAGUUUAUCUACAGAACGUCGAGUGAGCUCAACGUCAAGAACGGGCAAGAAAGGAAAAGUCACUCAUCAAGAAUGAGAAACCUCACCAGCCAUACCUUUUGCUUCUUCUCGCGCCUUCUGCAGGUUCUGUUGAGCAAGCUUCAAGUCAAGGUUGAGCUGGAUCUGUUUGUUCUCCAACUCAGUGUAGAGAGCCACAAGUUCACAGGAUUUCUGCAAAAAUCAGUCGACAGAGGUCCAAGAUAAGUUGCUUCCGAGUAACCAAGAGACAAUGAUGGCGUUUCUAAGACUACGGCUGAAUCAAAAACAUUCAACAGUAGUCUCGGGGACUACACCUAGUGGGUGCACUCAGCGUGCCCCCACUGGUUUUUUGAAAAAAAAAAUUGACUGCCCGUAGUCGACCGGAUACAGUUUCAUUCGACAUGGCCUGACUAGACCGAGUGAAGAAGUACAACUACAGCAACACAAUAUAAAGACUACAGUCGACUGCCAGUAGUCCACCGUAGUCUCGGGGACUACACCCAGUGGGUGCACUAAGCGUGCCCCCACUCGUCCAGGACUUAACAGACACACCCAGUGGGUGUACAGAUUUAAAGAUCUUCAGAAAAGAGAUUCUUCAGACAGCAUACCCUAACAGAACAAGCAGUGAAUCAACUGACCUGGACGUUACUCUGAAGAGCUGAACUCGCGUCAUAAGCUUCUUGGCUGGCUUCUCGAACCACCUUGACCUGCUCCAUCAUGAUCCCUGCCUGGCAUAUAGCUUCCUUAGCUGCACCCACUUGGUCCUCAGGGAUGUGGUGUGUGGCGAAGAGCGAAGGCGGAUUUGCGGUCGACGUCGAGGGCCGCACACUCGUCAGAGGAAUGGCGAAAGUCACAGAAGCCCGAGUGGUAUCACCACCGUCUCGAGCUACGGCCUCAGGCGCCGGAGUGGAUUGUGGGGUCUCGCCAGCCGACGCUUUCCUGUUCCGCCUCACUCUCGGCGGUGCUUCUUCGUUGUCGUCAGGGAGGUUAAUAACAUGAGGAGGAGAUACGAGAAAAAUUCAAUCGACCAGAGUUAUGAGAAAUCGUCAGUCGAUUCAAGGCAGAACAUCAGUAAUCAUACCAGGGUUGGAAGUAACAGCAUCUUCCAUCUCUUGAUCAUCGUCCUUGGUGGAGAUCUCAGAAGUUGCAGCACUGCAAAUUUUGAAAGACAGUCAGUUGGCUCAGUGAAUCGACCAAGGAUCCGUCCACGGUCGACAAAGGAGAACAAGUUCUAUCAUUACCCAGAAAUGGUGGGGACAGUCAUCCUCAUCUUGGGCAGAGCCUUGGGUGGCUUGGAUGGCGCCGCACGGGGGUGCUUGGGAGCUUUUUCAGUCGGCGCUAGAGAAGAGGUCCGAGGGCGCUUCGACGACUGCCCAAUGGGAGCAGUCGCCUUACCACGUUCCCGCGCAGGGUCGUGUGUAAGCUUGGAUCGCCUUUCCGAGCGGGGAGGUUCAGCUUCCUCCUCCUCCUCUUCGCUGGAGUCGACGUCGUCGUCUCCCUCUCCUUCGCCGUCAAAUUCCCACUCUCCCUGUUCGUCUCCACUUUCGCCUCCGCUCGCCUCCCCUUCCUCGGCCUGCUCCUGUGCUCUGUUGGGUGUCGAGUACAUCUCUGUAGUUGCCUGGAGAACAGCAGACAAGUCGAAAGUCAGUCGACCGAUUCAAAGAGAGCAAAUGAAGAAAGCAAGAUCUCAGUCGGGAACACAAGGUCAAACCUGGUCCACUUCAUAUGAGUUGUCGAGCAGAGGGACCCUCCUGGCUCCUCGGGGGUUGUCUUUGUUCCCUGUGAUGCUCGAUAGCCACCCUUCCAGCAUCUCGUCAGUGACCUCCUCUGGGUGAAUCCGAGUGGUGUCCUCGAGACCCGAGUACAGCCACAUCGGAUGGUCACGAGCCUGGAGAGGUUGGAUGCGCCUCCGAAGGAAGACCUCCAGCAAGUCCAUGCCAGUCACGCCCUCUCGGACAAGCUGAACCACUCGACCAACCAUCACCUUGACUUGGGGUCACCUGGUCUUGGCAAUAAAACCAGGUCGACUGCCAACCACGGAUCGACUCGGGAAAAGUGAUAGACGGAAAAGAACUUUUUUCCCUCAUCUGGAUCGCCAGGCCCCCGCACAGCUGGAUCACUUGCGUUCGUUCGUCACUUGACUUGGCUUUAUUUACCGAUUGGGAACGACAAGUGAAGAUGUGUUUAAAGAGUCCCCAAUGAGGGCGGCAACCCAAGAAACUUUCGCACAAGGAAACGAAAGCAGCAAGAUACACGAUGGAAUUGGGAGUGAAGUGGUGGAGCUGCGCUCCGAAGAAGUUCAAAAAGCUCCGGAAAAAAGGAUGAGGAGGUAGAGAAAAUCCGCGAUCGAUAUGGGUGGCGAGGAGGACGCACUCACCGUCACGAGGUUCGGGUUCGAUUUCUCUCCCCGGCAGACGCGCAACUUCAUGGGGAAUGACUCCCCCCUCAACCAUGUCGUCAAGAUCUUCCUGCCGAAUCACCGACGGCAUCCAGUCACCCUGGAUCCAAUCCCUGGGCAGAGCAGUCCUCGAGGAAGAUCUGCCCCGAGCGGACUUCUUCCCCUUCCCCUGCACCGCCGCCUUCUUUGCGCGCUCCAAAGCCAACGUCUUGUCCUUCACCAUCGUCGCCGGCGAGGCUCGAACGGACCUACGGCGCUAGGGUGAGAGCGGAGGUGGCGGAGGACCUUGCGGGGGGAGAAGGGAAGACGAGAGCACACUGUUUGGGAGCCCCGAGCCGGCAACUUAUAAGGAGCCGCUUUCGAGUGGCUGACCAGUAGGCCCAGGCGAUCCCGUCAAAUCCUACAACAGGCGCGCGCGCGCGGUACGUGGCGAAAAAGGUGGCACGGGAAUCGAGGAGCUUCCAUCCUAUCCCAUCCGAUUACUGCGGUCGCCCCCGUCCCGCUCGCUUCCCGAAAUUCAAAUCCCGCAAAAUCCGCGAGCUGCAGAACAACCCAUCAAACUGAAGAUCCCGCUCGUGCCGGCACUCGGUAUUUCACAAGUAAGGAAAUUCACUCGACGAGAGACCAAGAAUGGAUCAAGGUGACCGAAAGAAGUUGACAACGUCAUCCGUGACGAUUGAUCCAGUACAAGACAUUCAUAUAACGCUAAGAACCAGUCGGAAGGACCCCCAACUCCUUCCCCACUCGAACCUCGAUCCAUUCGGGAGAACACUUUCUUGAAAUUUUAGCGAGGGAUCAUCUUAUUUAUGCUACCAUCGUUCUAAGCAAAUAAGAUGUAGACAUGACAAACAUCACAUGCAAAUCAUAAAGUGACAUGAUAUGGCCAAUAUCAUCUUGCGCCUUUGAUCUCCAUCUUCGAGGGGCGGCAUGAACACCAUCGUCACCGGCAUGACACCAUGAUCUCCAUCAUCAUGAUCUCCAUCAUCGUGUCUUCAUGAAGUUGCCUCGCCAACUAUUACUUCUACUAAUAUGGCUAACGGUUAGUGAUGAAGCUAUGUACCUAGGGUAGGGGCAUGGACCUGUCAUAAGAGCCCUACCCAAGGACAUCCCUGGAAGAAGUCACCUUUCAAUCGACUUGAAGGUAUCCCACUCGACGGAUUCAAGACACUCGACCAGGAAGCCAUCACUCGACUACGAAGCCAACCACUCGACUGCCAGGAGAUCUAAAGUCACUCCGCAGGCAAACGGUCGGCCAUUAAGUAGUCUUUAUGGUCAUCAUAGAACUUUAUUAGGGACGUUACCAGUAAUGCCCAGUCUUAAUGUAUUUUAACCCUGCAUUACUGAGGGCGGGAGAGGUCUGGCAAAAUCUAUAUAAGCCACCCCCCUCCUCAGUAGCAGGGGUUCGCACCCCUGUUAUUCACACACCCAUAAUCCAAUCGACCGCCUCCGGGCACCGAGACGUAGGGUUGUUACUUCCUCCGCGAAGGGCCUGAACUCGUACAUCCUGGUGUGUUUACAACUUCUCCAUAGCUAAGAUCUAGCCUCUCCAUACAUACCCCCCUACAUCACUGUCAGAGUUAGAACCACGACAGUUAGCAAUAAAGUAAAGUAAUUACAUGGCAUUUUCAUUGACACGCAGGUCAUAAAUAAAUUAAGAGAACUCCUAUGGCUCCUGCCGGUUGUAUACUCAUCGACAUGCAAGUCAUGAUUCCUAUUACAAGAACAUGAUCAAUCUCAUACAUCACAUAUAUCAUUCACCACAUCCUUUUGGCCAUAUCACAUCACAUAGCAUACCCUGCAAAAACAAGUUAGACGUCCUCUAAUUGUUGUUGCAUGUUUUACGUGGGUGCUAUGGGUUUCUAGCAAGAACGUUUCUUACCUACGCAAAACCACAAUGGUGAUAUGCCAAUUACUAUUUACCCUUCAUAAGGACCCUUUUCAUCGAAUCCGAUCCUUCUAAAGUGGGAGAGAAAGACACCCUCCAGCCACCUUAUGCAUCAAGUGCAUGUCAGUCGGUGGAACCAGUCUCACGUAAGCGUACGUGUAAGGUCGAUCCGGGCCGCUUCAUUCCACAAUUCCGCCGGAUCAAGAUAAGACUAGUAACGGUAAGCAAAUUGAACAAAUCAUCACCCACAACUACUUUGUGUUCUACUCGUGCAUAGAAUCAACGCAUAGACCUAGCUCAUGAUGCCACUGUUGGGGAACGUAGCAAUAAUUCAAAAUUUUCCUACGUGUCACCAAGAUCAAUCUAGGAGAUACUAGCAAUGAGAGAGGGAGUGCAUCUUCAUACCCUUGAAGAUCGCUAAGCGGAAGCAUUACAAGAACGCAGUUGGUGGAGUCGUACACGCAGCGAUUCAGAUCGCGGUCGAUUCCUAUCUAAGCGCCGAACAACGGGCGCCUCCGCGUUCAACACACGUACAGCCCGGGGACAUCUCCUCCUUCUUGAUCCAGCAACGGGAGAGGAGAAGUUGAGGGAGAACCCCACAGCACGACAGCAUGGUGGUGGAGCUUGUGGUAUUCAUGCAGGGCUUCGCCAAGCUCUACGGAGGAGAAGGAAGAGUUGGAGGAGGGAGGGGCUGCGCCAGGGGGAGGGUCUCGUUCUUCUCGCAGCCCUCCCACCCCCACUAUUUAUAGGAGAGGGGAGAGGGGGCCAGCCCCUUCAGAUCCCAUCUAGGGGAGGGGCGGCGGCCAGGGAGGGAACCCUAGAUGGGUUUUCGGCGCCCCCACCCCUAGGAGACUUGCCCCCCAAGCCAGGAGGGGAAGCUGCCCUAGGAGAGGCGCCCCCACCUCUCCUGGUUACGUGAGAUGGGGUGGAAGGGGUGCAUAGCCCCUUAGUGGGCUGGUUUGCCCCUUCCCCUUGGCCCAUAAGGCCCUCCAACACUUUUCGGGGCCUCCGAAACCCCUUUCGGACACGCUGGCCGUCACCCGGUACCCCCGGAACAAUUUUGGACUCCAAUACCCUUCGUCCAAUAUAUCGAUCUUCACCUCUGGACCAUUCCGGAACUCCUCGUCACGUCCGGAAUGUCAUCCGGGACUCCGAACAACCUUCGGUAACCACAUACUAUUUUCCAUAACAACUCUAGUGUCACCCAACCUUAAGUGUGUAGACCCUACGGUUUCGGGAACCAUGCAGACAUGACCGAGACAUCUCUCCGCACAAUAACCAAUAGCGGGAUCUGGAUACCCAUAUUGGCUCCCACAUGUUCCAUGAUGAUCCCAUCGGAUGAACCACGAUGUCGGGGAUUCAAUCAAUCUCGUAUACAAUUCCCUUUGUCUAUCGGUAUGUUACUUGCCCGAGAUUCGAUCGUCGGUAUCCCCAUACCUCGUUCAAUCUCGUUACUGGCAAGUCUCUUUACUCGUUCCGUAACGCAUGAUCCCAUGACCAACUCCUUAGUCACAUUGAGCUCAUUAUGAUGAUGCAUUACCGAGUGGGCCCAGAGAUACCUCUCCGUCAUACGGAGUGACAAAUCCCAGUGUCGAUUCGUGCCAACCCAACAGACACUUUCGGAGAUACCUGUAGUGCACCUUUAUAGCCACCCAGUUAUGUUGUGACAUUUUGUACACCCAAAGCAUUCCUACGGUAUCCGGGAGUUGCACAAUCUCAUGGUCUAAGGAAAUGAUACUUGACAUUAGAAAAGCUUUAGCAAACGAACUUCACGAUCUUGUGCUAUGCUUAAGAUUGGGUCUUGUCCAUCACAUCAUUCUCCUAAUGAUGUGAUCCCAUUAUCAAUGACAUCCAAUGUCCAUGGUGAGGAAGCCAUAACCAUCUAUUGAUCAAUGAGUUAGUCAACUAGAGGCUUACUAGGGACAUGUUGUGGUCUAUGUAUUCACAAAUGUAUUACGGUUUCUAGUUAAUACAACUAUAGCAUGAACAAUAGACAAUUAUCAUGAACAAGGAAAUACAAUAAUAACCAUUUUAUUAUUGCCUCUAGGGCAUAUUUCCAACAGGGGAGAGGGAAUUUCAGACACUUCUCCCCGAUUACCCUCCUUCGCGGAGGCGGUAAUUCCCCCAGUUUGGAUGAAUAAUGAGUGAGGCCCGCUUUCAGCCUCUUUAUUCCCCCCUUAUCUUCCCCUGAGGGCACCUGAUAAGGCAACGCCUUGAGUAUUCUGGCCAGUACUGGAUCUGCUGAGCCUUCGGGAAGGGGGGCUGAACACCUGAUCAUCUUCGCCUUUGUUACCCAGUCCUGGUCAAAGAGCGACCUUUUAGAAUGAUGUUGUGAUAAAUAAAAAAGCAACGCGUUCGGCCACAGGAUUACUUACUUGGGUAUCUGGACGAUUGCAGCUCAGACCCGCAUCCUCGAUGGUGUCCGGACACCUUAUUUGUGGUCCGAAGAACAAUUUGUACAUCUUUUCGAGCGUCAUGCCGAGGAAGUGUUGAAUAGUUCGCGGUCCUUCCGGGUUGAACUCCCACAUACGGAGGGGUCGACGUUUGCAAGGCGGGACUCGACGAACUAGCAUGACUUACAUUACCGUGGCCAGGCUGACAUCUCUCUCGAGGAGAUCUCGGAUGCGACUCUGCAAUAUCGGCACAGCAUUUACUGGCCCCCAGUCCAACCCCUUGUUGAUCCAUGACGUCAAUUGUGGUGGGGUGCCCGAGCGAAAGGCAGGGGUGGCUACCCACUUGGUACCCCGGGGAGCUGUGAUAUAAAACCACUCUCGUUGCCAUAAACUGGACACCUCUGGGAAGGAACCCUCUGGCCAUGGAACAUCAGCGCUUUUGCUUAUUACGGCACCUCCGCACUCUGCGUGUCGCCCCUCAAUCAUCUUCGGCUUCACAUUGAAAGUCUUGAGCCACAGGCCGAAGUGUGGGGUAAUGCGGAGGAAGGCCUCACACACGACGAUGAACGAUGAGAUGUGAAGGAGGGAAUCCGGGGCCAGGUCAUGGAAAUCCAGCCCAUAAUAGAACAUGAUCCCCCUAAAAAAGGGAUCCAGAGCGAGGCCUAGCACUCAGAGGAAGUGAGAGAUGAAUAAAACGCUCUCGCCGGGUUCGGGAGUGGGAAUGACCUGCCCUCGAGCAGGCAGCCUAUGCGAGAUUUCGUCGGUCAAAUACCUGGUCUCUCUUAGCUUCUUGAUGUCUUCCUCUGUGACAGAGGAAGGCAUCCACCAACCUUGAAUGUUGGAUCCGGACAUGGUUGAAGGUCCGAAACGCCUGACCUGAGCCUUGGGUGUUGGAACUCGAGGCGGGGGAAGGAUUCGAUUGAGUAUGAGAGGGAAAAAAGGACAGGCCUUGGCCUCUUUAUAAAAAGGGUGAAUAUCAAGCGUCCUCCUCGUGGCCGUUUGGGACUUGCCUAAAAUCGAGGAGUCAUACCAACGGGCACGAUUGGGUUACCCACGUCCGUAUUGAUGAGAAUCACGUAAUAAGGGGGACAUAAUCUCUGCUUUGACAAGACGUGCCAAGAAAACCACCUCGCGAUAUGUGCAGUGUUGGUUGAGAAAAACGGUUCGAACAAUGACCGGGUCAUGGCAUGAUGUCAUGUUGCUUAGCGUGUCAGCAGAUUAGAUUUUUGGAAAUAUUAUUCUCUCUACGGUGGUAUGUGGAACUUGUUUUGCAGAGCCGAACACUAUCCUUGUGUUCAAAAUCUUCUAUGGAGUAUUCGGAGGAAGAACCCGCCUUGCAAUGCCGAAGACAAACUGCGCGAUGGACUCGUCGUCAUUGAAGCCUGGUUCAGGGGCUACUGAGGGAGUCCUGGAUUAGGGGGUCUCCGGACAGUCGGACUAUAUCCUUUGGCCGGACUGUUGGACUAUGAAGAUACAAGAUUGAAGACUUUGUCCCGUGUCCGGAUGGGACUCUCCUUGGCGUGGAAGGCAAGCUUGACAAUACGGAUAUGUAGAUCUCCUUCCUUGUAACCGAAUCUAUGUAACUCUAGCCCCCUCCGGUGUCUAUAUAAACCGGAGGGUUUGGUCCGUAGGACAAUCAUACCAUAGGCUAGCUUCUAGGGUUUAGCCUCUACGAUCUCAUGGUAGAUCAACUCUUGUAAUACUCAUAUCAUCAAGAUCAAUCAAGCAGGAAGUAGGGUAUUACCUCCAUCGAGAGGGCCCGAACCUGGGUAAACAUCGUGUCCCCCGCCUCCUGUUACCAUGCGCCUUAGACGCACAGUUCGGGACCCCCUACCCGAGAUCCGCUGGUUUUGACACCGACAAUGUCCUCAUAGUAUCAGACAGGCGGUCAACCAAAAGUGAAGUGUGGAUGUUGGAUUCAGCUUGCUCUUUUCAUGCGACACCCAACAGGGAGUGGUUCUCUUCGUACAAGUCUGGUGAGUUUGGUUUAGCCUAUGUGGGCGAUGACACGGGUUAUCGUGCUGCUGGAGUAGGUGACAUCAAAAUCAAGAUGUUUGACGGAGUUGAGCGGAUGCUUCGGGAAGUCAGGCAUGUGCCAGGGCUAAGGAGGAAUCUAAUUUCGCUUGGUGUUCUUCAUGAUGGUGGUAUGGUAUUCCGUUGUGAUCGGGAUAAGAAGACCAUGAGAAUCAUGGAAGAUGAGGUGACCGUGAUGAUUGGAGGGAGGACGGCUUCGCAUCUUUACAAGUUGCAAGGGAGCACUAUUGCAGGUGGAGUCACAUAGACUGGAGUUGCAGGAGUAGCAGCGGGGUCUCACGGCGGCGGCGGGUCUGGGGCAGGCUCGUCGAGUAGCUCUCGGUAAGCUACAAAGAAGACAACACUAGUCCGGAGUACAUGGAAGUUUGACGCAUGGACAAAUUCAAGGUGGUAGAGAAUAUUCACCAAGGUGAAGUCUGUUGUGUUUGUGUCGAAUAUUUUGUACUAGUUGGGUUACGCUUGGACUUGGUGUUGUAGUGUGGGUAGGAUACUUGUAGUGUCGGAAUCGGACACGUUGUACCCUUGGCCUCUUAUAUAUGAGGAGGCACCCCACGUUGUAAGCCAUGACAGCUACAUAGCGACAGGUUCGCAAGGGGGUGCUGGCGGCUUGUGCCGGCGCCCGGGUGGCCGGUAUUGCGGUAUCUCAGGGAGGAGUGCCCGUAGUCAUUACCCCGAGGAGUAGGCGAGUUCGCCGAACCUCAUUAACAAAUCUCGGUGUCGUCAUUAUCUGUGAUUGUUUGGUUCUCUUGGUGGAUCGACCCCGUACCUCGGAUUUAUUCUAACGCGGGGCAUGCCCGGCGUCUACCCAGGGUAUAAGAGCACCUGCGGGGCUCGUUGUAAUGGCCGGGGAUUCGAGUUCGUGCUCGGGAAAAAGACCAUUCAUGCGGUGGCGUCCGUGCGCCGGAAACUCUCGUUGUGUCCUCUGUGCCCUCCUUCUUCCUCCUUCUCGUGUCGUUCGAGCGCAGCAAAGUGAGAGAGAGAGCCAGAGAGGAUCUAGGGCUAGCUAGGGCAAGGCCACGGCAACAACAACCGCGCAAGACGUACAACGGCGAGGGAGUACCACAUCGACCACACGCUGGCGUGCACGCUGGAGUACAGUGCGUUGUGGCUCUCUGUUGCAGAGGAGCCUGCGUUUGUCAUGGAGGCGCUGCACAAGCCAGCGUGGCGCAGCGCCAUGGAGGCCGAGAUGGAGUCAAUUCACUGCCACAACACAAGGGAUCCCGCCUCACUCCGUGCAGCCACCGCGCCAUUGGAUUGAAGUGGGUGUUUAAGAUCAAGUGUGGUCCGACUGGAAACAUUGUGAAGCACAAAGCUUGGAUAGUCACGAAGGGCUACGUGCAGCGGCAGGGGUGGAUUCAGAAUGAUUAGCAAGUUGCUAGAUACAAAUAGUUUAUAUCCAGUUUCAUUUGGGGGCAUUGUGUUCCAGAGUGUACCAUCACGUUCGGGUCAUUAGCGGGUUUAACAAAACAUUUCAUAAUUUUGUGCACUUUCAUAGUGUUUAAUUGAUCGUGUUUCACCUUGUUUUAUAAUUUGAUUUUGAAAACUUGUUAAAAUAUAUUCAAAACUGGUCUCAUUUUAAUGUCCUCAUCAUCAUACACACAGAUAUGCAAACGGAUCAUAAAUUAUUAAAUUAGACAUUUGAUUCAAAAAAUAAAAUAGAUCUGUGAAUGAUGAAAAAGCAUGGGAUGGUGGACCAUGGCUGGAACACUGUGCUUACUUCUCCACUACUAUUAAACAAUCAAACAUGAACUUUCUUACGUGCACCCCGCAAAACGUCCACAGACGCAUCAGCACCACAGGAUGAAGCCCACACAACCCAAUCUAACAGCCAUCAUUAAUUUAUUCAAGAUCUGGUGUGCGCUUAGCAGUUUCAAUAGACUGACCGUACUCCACCAGAUGAAAAUAUGAGACUCUCCGUCCCGCAUCCGCAGCCCCUCAAAUCACGCUAAUCUAACCAUCUAACCAACUCGCAAAAAAAGGAAGCCGAACCUAAUCGUGUCCCUGGCCCCUCUCCCUGCCUUUCCUCGCCACCGCCCCAGACGAAGCUCAGUAGCCCUGUCGCGCCCUGUCGCCUCCAUGCACGGCGGCCUCGAUCCCUGCAUCGCAUCGUCGCCUCGCUGGACGGUUCCCUCGACGUCCUGCAGCGCAUUGAGGCCUCCCUGCCGGGCUCCCUCGCCGGCCUACAUCGCAACGUCGAGUGGGCGGCCGCUCCUCCUUCACCUACAAUCAAAUAUUCAUGGAUCAGCCAGGCUACAACAAGAUUAUUAUGCAUCAUCUGCAUGAGUUUUGGAGCAGUAGCCAGCCCCAUCAGAUCGGCCAGGUAUGAUUUCAACAGCCAAUGAAGACCCGCCUAACAAGAUACAACCUCACCUUCGUUUCUAAUAUGCGUUCGACAGAUCGCCAGUGCCUAGGAGCCUGCUCCGGCACCCGCGCCACCCUGAAAUUCCCCUGAACCAGCCAGCCACACGCAACUAUAAUUCUUCCCUGCACUUCUUCAGGUUCGACUUCUUUGACCUGUUGCAACAUUAGUCAGGAUUAGAAUUUUGACAACAGAGUUCUAAAAAAUAAAUAGUUGCACAGCAGAAUGCUAUAAGCCCGUUUUACAUCUCAUUAAUGGUUUUCUAUGUUGAAAAAUGGUGAAUGCAGGGCCUAACGUCCAAAUUUCAGGGGUUAAGGUACCCCAACUCAGCAGAAUACGAGACCCAUAUUGCACAAUUGAAGAUGGUUAGUUUGUCGAUUUAAUUAUGUUGCAACUGUGUCGACAAUGUUUAUUUGACCGUACAUUCGGGUUCUCUUUCCUUUGUUGAGGUAUGGAGCCUUUUACUGGCUCAAAUCAACUAGAAAAAUAUGUCGGAUAAUGAUAAGAGAGGCUCUGUCGAACCUGGUACUCAAAACACAAAAAAUCUGCAAAUUACUUUUGUCGAUCCUACGUCUACUACAAUACCUACAUUGUUAUGCUCUACUAAUCUUAUGAUUUUCUAUCCUGGGUAAUGACCAGACAAAUGAUCCAUACAUGAUGACGCAUCAAGAUGUAGCUUUUGAAUCGUACCAACUUGGAUGCAAUACUCCCAUAGCAAAUACUGAUGAAUACAUGAAUUUUGUUCUUAAAGAAUGCAUGCAUCUCUAAGAUAAGGAAUUUAGCUCUAUACACGAUGACGCACCAAGAUGGGUAUUAAAGAGGGCUACAACUUAUUUGGAACAUGAUAUGGUGAGCCUCAGUUCCGUACAUAUUACUAUUAAUUUAAUCGAGGAUGGAUGUUUGUAUAGAUGGGACCUAAACUAAAAAAAUGCCUAUUUUCAGUGUAUCCAGGUGCUCGACUCGCUAGGCCCAGGAAUGCACCGCAAAGACCUCACCGCUAUGGUUAGUUAUUAGUCCGACUGCACCAUCGUUUGAUAAGACGAUUUCUGUUAUUCUUCGCUUGUGAUGCUAAUACUUUGUCAUUUAUUCACGCAACAGCUGGAAGGCAAGGGCAAGAACACCUUACUGCUUGUGAAGGAAUGCUUAGUCCGUGGCUGCUGUAUGCACAGAUGCAUGCCCUCUUGCCGGCAAAACAGCAGCAACAGUCACCUCUGGUAAUUGCUCUUACUUAAUAUAUUUACAGUUGUGCCUCUGAAAUCUAUUUAUGGGUCAAAUUCAGGAUCAGGCGAGGCAUGUAGACCUCGGAACUAUGUACGAUGUUCUAUACCAAUGGUGUGUUGAAAUCUUAUUUAUGAAUGAACUGGAUUGCUAAUUUGCUAUGCGGUACUAAUAAUAAUACACUGAACUUAUAGUGCUUGCAUGUUAUAAUUCCCCUCUAAGGAAAUUUGUUUGCAAGGUAUAAUUUAUAGUGUAAGUUUAAAUGUAUCUUUGGAUAUCACCCAAAUCCAGCAGGCUAGCACUAGCAUAGGCAAGAUUAACUCUACUCAACCCCGACGUGAGCCACACAAUAGAGUAACCCAACUCGACUAAAUCGCAAGACAUAAGGAACCUUUAUCCAACUGAGCUGUUAGCAUUACCUGGUCGCCAUGGCCUGAAGGAUGUUGGAGGGAAUAUGAUUGCCAUGGAGGAUGUCACCCGCAAACUCUUACACAUCAGCAUGGCCUUAACAUAGUAUAGGACCCGGCUCUUAUGUCUUCUGACCGCUUCAAAUUCUUCAUGGCAGGACAUGCCAUCAGUUCCUAGAAGAAAGUGGUGUUCGAGUAGGAAGAGGGAGGAGAUGCAAACAUCACUGCUAAUCCGACCAGUUCAGGAAACACAUAAAGAUGAUAUGUAUCCUUUGAGCAAUAGGAUCAGCUUCAUGUCCAUACGGUCACUACACAUGCCAUGCAGGCGGCAAGAUACGGGCAUGUCCAUCAUCGACUUCGAUGACGGCGAGAUCGACGUGGUGCAGCACAACUCUGUCUGAGUCAGCAGCAGCGAAUUGUUUCUACGGAGGUCUAAUCCUUUUCGGUACCAGUCAAAAUCCAACUUUUUAUUGCUAUUUCGCAAUGCACUCUUGUGUGCAUAAUUAUUUAAAACUGAAAACAUCUGGAGUACACCUGAUCCAUUCUAAUUCUAAAGACUAAAGAAGUUGCACUUCCUGCUUCCAGAGUGUAAAAUGGUGCACUUGAAUGAUUGGUUGUUGGGACUAAGCAGUUUGAGCAUAUCCUUCUUUUCAUGUACAUAUCCUAAUAGGUGAGAGCAUCAACGAGAUAUGGUUGAUCUAUCAUGAACCGGUUUAGUAUAUACUCCCUCCGUGCCAGAAUAAGUGUCUCAAGCUUAGUACAACAUUAUACUAAAGUUAGUACAAAGUUGAGACACUUAUUUUGGGACAGAGGGAGUAUAUUUUUGCAGUACAAUGCUUGUGGUAAGACAUCUAAGAAAUAUUUGGAGUUGCCGACUAAGGUAAUCUGGAAGUUCGAAUUAGUAAACAAAUAUGCCCAACCAUCACUUCAAGGAAAUGCUCCAUAGACAACUACAUAGAUUUCUUAGAACAAUAAAAAUACUGUGCAAUGCAUCUCAGAAUCAAAACAUACUCUUCGAUUCAGACUUGUUGCUCCCAUCCCCUUUCGGCACCUCCUCCUUCAGAAAAUCUGAACCAUUCAGGGCUGCAUCAUCAACAAAGGCACCAACUAAGAGGAUGAAAGGAAAAUCAUAGGCUUGGAAGAAAGCUUACUCUUUUUUAACUGGUCGGAGAACAACCGUCUGUGAGUUGGCGAGCAGGGACCUCCAGUCUCAGAGACACAACAAGGGAACGGCGGCGGCCGCGAAGGCAGCGCCACACGGAACACACCAUGGCCCCUGAGCAGCUAACCCUAGGCGAUGAACAUUGCACACGGUGAGGCUACGCACCGAUUUGACGGGGACGAGCAGGCGGCAGGGUCGGAGAGACUAACCUGGACCCUUACGAGCGAGGAGAAGCAUAGGGAGGGCCCCAAGCAGCAGCACAUCAUGCGGAGGUCUUCGUGGUCAUCCAUGGAAAGAAGGAACCGGAGGUCGGGAGUAGCAGCUGCUCCUGCUCCAGGCUGAAUCGAACAAGCAAAUAAAGAUGGUGUCGGAGAGCAGAGCAUCCGGAUCGAGGGGAGAAGAAGAGUUGGAACCGGACCUUGAUGGCGUCUCGAGUAGGGGGGAGGGAGGAUUCAUGGCGCGCGGGAGAAGGUAGAGACGCUCAUGGCGGCGACGGAGAGUGCAUCAGGAGGAGGGAGGGCUCCGGUGUCGCCGGCGAGCAUGCCGAGCUCGAGCGCCUCCUCGAGCACUUCGGGAAUAGGAUGUGAAGAAGGGGCGGGGCGGGGAAGAGCAUGGGCCUGCGUGUCCGCCGACAAUGGUGACGAAGGGGAGGGGCGGCCACCAGAGAGUGCCGGCUGUGGAUGGGGGAUCUAGCGUGAGUCAACAGAGGAGGAGGUAGGAAGAGAAGAAUGGGGAAGAUAAGAAAUGUGAGGGGGC
rnacentral:lncRNA from 1 species